GAGGGGGAGGUUGGCGCAUGCGCAUAAGGCUGACGGGUUUUGAAAUGGCUUCGGUGUUAGCCGGGACCCGACUCAGGUGAAGGUCUGGUCAGCGCUUCAUUGGAGCGCGAUGGGCGGCCGCCCGGGGUUCUUAACAUCUGUCCUAUAGCGGAAGGGCCGGGAGGCUUCGUUUUGGUGGCACGGAGGCCCCAGGCCGGCGACCGUGGGGCUCUUGUGGGGCUGGGGCGGGAGGGACGCGGUCCCUUUUGUGCCGGUCCGACCAGGCCCUGUGCUGCCCGCCCCUCCCCCACCGCCUCGCUCUUUCCGGGUCGCCCCUCAGGUGUACGCAGCGCUACUCAGCCUUGGUCCGACCGGCUGCAGUCCGCCGUCCCCCUCUCCGGAGCUGCUGCGGCUUUAGCCUCGAAGCCCGGGGCGGGGGUGGGGGGCUCCCCGUGGCGUGGGUUUGGGGAUAGAGGCUUUCUCCGUCGUGCGCCGGACUUAAGGAGGCCUGAACUCUUUGAGUGUCCCCGUGUUGGCGCUUAACCCAGUGUUGUGGGGCGGUGGGUUCCGCCUUCCGCCGUCUGCGGCCCGCGAGGAGCUGGGGCCGGAGGAAGAUGGCAGAGCCCUGGCCCGUCAGAAUCGCCGCGCCCGGGCGAUGUGCGGGCGGAGAUGAUCGCAUUUUCUGACUUGUCUUUGGCGGGAGUGGGGUCUUCGCAUUGGUUCUUUGAGGGGCAUCCGUUAGCUCAACUGCCUUUCCACACGAGGGAGAGGAAGUCGAGGGCAAAGGAGGUCCUAGUUAAUUCCAUACCAGAGAAAUUAGAGAUGUUCGUUAUUUUGAUGAUAAGUACCUUUGUUCGGGGUCUCGUCCAAUUUUCCGUUAUUGAUUUCACCAUCACUUUGGCCCCAGUCUCCAACUCCAUCGCCCAAAGAAACACGAAGGCUAGAUAUCCUGUGAAUAUGGAGUUGUGAAGUUCUUGUUAAUAAUCUGGUGGAUAGAGCAGAUUGUCUUCUGUUUAAAUGUGACGGUUUAUAGUCACAGAAAGAAGUGCCCUUUAAGUCUGUCCCUAAAAUAAGGGUACUUUGGUGAUCCAGUUGAUGUAAAAUGUUUUUGCUGCAUUUAAAGUGUUGUUCAUUUGCCCUUUUCCUACCUGCAGUUAUAAUUUCUACUUAGGAAGAUGUCCUUGAUACUUUAAACAUUUCUUUUAAAUAAUUGUGAUAUUUGUAGUUUGGUUGAACUUUGAAACGUGGAUCCUUUCUUAAUAGAUCGCUGCUAUAGAAGAAAAACAAGUGAAGGUUUUUUUACCCCUUGCAUCAUGGCUCAGUUUGGAGGACAGAAGAAUCCGCCAUGGGCUACUCAGUUUACAGCCACUGCGGUAUCACAGCCAGGUCAGACUGCUGAACACAUGUACUUUAAAUGAGUGUGUGGGUGUUGGGGGGGAAUCCUGUUUUAGCCGAGUUAGGUUAUGCAUGUUAUGGUAAAGUGUUUGCAAGUGAUGUGUCGUUUAUUUGUGAAGACUUUUAAAAAUUUAUAGAUCAACUAGGGAAAAAAGUGAUUUGCAUUUUGGACAGUUUUAUAGGUUUUGUUUUGCAGUGCUGUGGAUCAGUUCUUCCCCCUGCCCCCCCCCCCCCCCCNNNNNNNNNNNNNNNNNNNNNNNNNNNNNNNNNNNNNNNNNNNNNNNNNNNNNNNNNNNNNNNNNNNNNNNNNNNNNNNNNNNNNNNNNNNNNNNNNNNNNNNNNNNNNNNNNNNNNNNNNNNNNNNNNNNNNNNNNNNNNNNNNNNNNNNNNNNNNNNNNNNNNNNNNNNNNNNNNNNNNNNNNNNNNNNNNNNNNNNNNNNNNNNNNNNNNNNNNNNNNNNNNNNNNNNNNNNNNNNNNNNNNNNNNNNNNNNNNNNNNNNNNNNNNNNNNNNNNNNNNNNNNNNNNNNNNNNNNNNNNNNNNNNNNNNNNNNNNNNNNNNNNNNNNNNNNNNNNNNNNNNNNNNNNNNNNNNNNNNNNNNNNNNNNNNNNNNNNNNNNNNNNNNNNNNNNNNNNNNNNNNNNNNNNNNNNNNNNNNNNNNNNNNNNNNNNNNNNNNNNNNNNNNNNNNNNNNNNNNNNNNNNNNNNNNNNNNNNNNNNNNNNNNNNNNNNNNNNNNNNNNNNNNNNNNNNNNNNNNNNNNNNNNNNNNNNNNNNNNNNNNNNNNNNNNNNNNNNNNNNNNNNNNNNNNNNNNNNNNNNNNNNNNNNNNNNNNNNNNNNNNNNNNNNNNNNNNNNNNNNNNNNNNNNNNNNNNNNNNNNNNNNNNNNNNNNNNNNNNNNNNNNNNNNNNNNNNNNNNNNNNNNNNNNNNNNNNNNNNNNNNNNNNNNNNNNNNNNNNNNNNNNNNNNNNNNNNNNNNNNNNNNNNNNNNNNNNNNNNNNNNNNNNNNNNNNNNNNNNNNNNNNNNNNNNNNNNNNNNNNNNNNNNNNNNNNNNNNNNNNNNNNNNNNNNNNNNNNNNNNNNNNNNNNNNNNNNNNNNNNNNNNNNNNNNNNNNNNNNNNNNNNNNNNNNNNNNNNNNNNNNNNNNNNNNNNNNNNNNNNNNNNNNNNNNNNNNNNNNNNNNNNNNNNNNNNNNNNNNNNNNNNNNNNNNNNNNNNNNNNNNNNNNNNNNNNNNNNNNNNNNNNNNNNNNNNNNNNNNNNNNNNNNNNNNNNNNNNNNNNNNNNNNNNNNNNNNNNNNNNNNNNNNNNNNNNNNNNNNNNNNNNNNNNNNNNNNNNNNNNNNNNNNNNNNNNNNNNNNNNNNNNNNNNNNNNNNNNNNNNNNNNNNNNNNNNNNNNNNNNNNNNNNNNNNNNNNNNNNNNNNNNNNNNNNNNNNNNNNNNNNNNNNNNNNNNNNNNNNNNNNNNNNNNNNNNNNNNNNNNNNNNNNNNNNNNNNNNNNNNNNNNNNNNNNNNNNNNNNNNNNNNNNNNNNNNNNNNNNNNNNNNNNNNNNNNNNNNNNNNNNNNNNNNNNNNNNNNNNNNNNNNNNNNNNNNNNNNNNNNNNNNNNNNNNNNNNNNNNNNNNNNNNNNNNNNNNNNNNNNNNNNNNNNNNNNNNNNNNNNNNNNNNNNNNNNNNNNNNNNNNNNNNNNNNNNNNNNNNNNNNNNNNNUUCCCACUUUCCAUGCACUUCUCAUCUUUCUCUCACUAAUGACUUCUGUCAUGUGUCUGAAAGGAUCUAGCCAAUCCUUAAAAAACAAAUGCCAAAUGUCUUCUUUGGUAUAAAGAGAGCAACUAAGAACAGAACAGGGAGGAAGAGCAUGAGGAAAAGAUUAACAUUAAACAAAGAGGAGUGGGGGGAGAGAAAGGGAGAGAGAAGGGAAAGCAUAUGGAAAUGGUAGGAGACCCUCAAUGUUACACAAAAUUACAUAUAAGAGGUUGUGAGGGGAAAGGGGGGGGAACAAGGGAGAGAAUUGAACAACAGCAGAUGAGGUAGAGAGUGAAGAUGGGAGGGGAGGGGAGGGUGGAUAGUAGGGGAUAGGAAAAGUAGCAGAAUACAACAGUCACUAAUAUGCCAUUAUGUAAAAAUGUGAGUGUGUAACCGAUGUGAUUCUGCAAUUUGUAUUUGGGGUAACCCUAUUGAGUCAAAUGUAUGAAAGAUGAUAUAUCAUGAGCUUUGUAAUGUUUUGAACAACCAAUAAAAAAAAAAAAAGAAAAAGAAAUACAAGCCAAGUAGUUGACAUACUCUUAAACCUAGCUAGGCCAUUGAGCAACUUAGCAAGACCCUGUCUCAUUAAAAUGAAAAGACUGCAGCUAUGACUCAGGGGUGGAGUGGUACCUAGCAGGCCUUGGCUUCAAUCCCUAGUAUUGAAAAUAAAAGAAAAAGACAUGGCUUAGGGUUGGUGAGGUAGUUCAGAGCAGCCAUAUGCCAGCUAUAUCAGUAUCUGAGUCCAGUGUCAAAUUGGUGACCAUGCAAAUCAUACAAAAAAGAAUUGUUCAACUUUUUCUUUUGUGGUAUUUAGUAUUGAACCAGUAGCCCUCACAAAUGCUUGACAAGUGCUUUUCCACUGAGCUACAUCCCCAACUCUUUUUUUUUUUUUUUUUUUUUGAUAUAGGCAUUGAACCCAGGGGCGCUUAGCCAGCCCUUUUUUAUUUAGGGACAGGGUCUGGCUAAGUUGCUUAGGGCCUUGAUAAAUUGCUCAUGCUGUCUUUGAAUUUGGGUCCUUUUGUCUCAGCCUCCUGGAGUGCUGGGAUGACAUUCUUAGGCCACCACACUCAGCCCCAACUCUUUUUUUGUUUUGUUUUGUUUUGAAACGGUCUCCUAAAGUUGCUAAGGCCUUCCAAUUUUCCGUCCUCCUGUAUAGCUAGGUUUACUGUCAUGGGCUACCAGGCCUGGUUUUAGCAUUUAAUUUUUUUUUUCAAUAUUUAUUUUUUACUUAGUUGGACACAAUACCUUUAUUUUACGCAUUUUUAUGUGGUGUGAAAUAUUGAACCCAGGGCCUCGCACAUACUAGGUGAGUGCGCUACCACUGAGCCACUACCUCAGCCCAGAAUUUUAUUUUAUGAGACGGUUAAUUUGCAUUUGUACUGUUGUUUAAAAAGUGGCUGAAAAUUUUAAUGCAUUUACACAUAAUGCAUUUAUACAGAUGAGACAUGUAAAUAAUGUUAAAAAUGUUAGUGAAAGUCUGCAUGUCAGCAGUUUAUUGCUGAAAGUGCAAAAUUGAAGCUUUGAAUUGUUGCUGUUUAGCUUUAAUACUGAGCCUAUUGAGUUCAGGAGUCAGUAAUUCCUGGGUGUUAUCAUAUGUCAUCUUUAAUUUUCUUUUCUUUUAACCCCCAUCUCAAAGAUAUCAAACGUUUUUUGUAGUUCUGGGGAUUAACCCAUUGAAUCCAAGGGCUAUCUACCACUGAGCUACAUCCUCAGGCCCUUAUUAGUUUUUGAGACAGGAUAUUGCAGGGUUGUACAGGUUGGCUUCAAGCUGUUGAUCCUCAGCCUCCUAAGUCCCUGGGAUUAUAGGCAUGUACAGCCUGGUCUGCCUGACUUUUCCCCUUUUUAAAAAUGUCUUGAAUUAUUCCUCCAUCCUACAUUUAGGACCAAUUCAGUAUUUGGAUAAUUUGAUCGGUAUUAGAUUUCUUCCGUUUACUGCUCUUAAUUUAAAGUUUCCAUUCCAAAGUCUCUUACCUAACUUUUUCAGGUCCUUUUAGUCCUUCCCUAAAUCUUUAUAUCCUACUCUUCAGUCAGUGUUUAACAUCGAUUCUUUAGUCACAAAGCUCUUUUUCUGUCUUGAGGAAAUAGUCUUUAUUGUCCUCUAUUUAUUUUUAUUUUAUUUUUUUAGAGAGAGAGAGAGAGAAUUUUUAAUAUUUAUUUUUUAGUUUUCGGCAGACACAACAUCUUUGUAUGUGGUGCUGAGGAUGGAACCCGGGCCACACGCAUGCCAGGCAAGCGCGCUACCGCUUGAGCCACAUCCCCAGCCCCCUCUAUUUAUUUUUUAAUAUUAUAGUUGUAGUUGACACAAUACCUUUAAUUAAUUAAUUUAUUUUUAUGUAGUGUUGAGGCUCGAACCUGGUGCCUCGCAAGUGCUAGGUGAGUGCUCUACUGCUGAACCACAACUCCAGCCUCUAUUGCCUUCUAUUUACUUAUAUUUAGUUCGAACUCCUUUUUUUUUUGUGCUGGGUACUGAAUCCAGGGAUGCUCUACCUCUGAGCUACAUCCCCAGCCUUUUAAAUUUAUUUUUUAUUUUGAGGCAGUUUCUCACUAAAUUGCUCAGGCUGGCCUUGAAUUUGUGAUCCGCCUGCCUUAGCCUCCUAGGUAGCUGGGAUUACUGGCAUGCCUGACUACUUUUAUUUGAUUACUCUCUUACUAUAAAUACUACUUCUUAUAUCUCCUAAAUAACCAUCGUUUCCUAAAGGAUAAUUUCUAUCAAAAUUACUGAUUUUAAAAAAUUAUUUUUAUGGUUCAUUAUUUCUCCCAUUACUCCAUUCUCUCGUUCAUCUACAAAAAUUUCUUUAGAAUAUAGUUCAAACUCCUUGGGAUACUAUUCGAAGUGUUCUGUCUUUCCAGCUUAAUCUCUCAUUUCUUCCGCAGUUGACAUAGUGUUUGUUUCUUAAUAUUUAUCUGAUUUUCCUUAUCCUGCCUGAAGUGCUGUCACAUUAUUUUCAGUGGUAGCAAUACUAGAGAACAGAACUUCAACUUCAUUCGUGUGUGUGUGUGUGUGUGUGUGUUGUGCUGGAAAUCAAACCUUGCCUUGUACGUGCUAGGCAAGUACUCUGCCGCUGAGUUACAUUCUAGCACUGAGACCAGAGCUUUAAGAUUUGAAAGUUGGGGUUUUUUUUUUAGAUUUUUUUUUUUUAGUUGUUGAUAGACCUUUAUUUUAUUUAUUUAAAUGCAGUGCUGAGAAUCAAACUCAGUGCCUCACACGUGCCAGGCAAGUGCACUACCACUGAACCACAACCCCAGCCCCUGAGAGUUGUUUUUUUAAUACUUUUUUUAAAAUUUAUUUUUAUAGGUUAUAAGGAUCAAACCCAGUGCCUCAAAUGUGCUAGGCAAGCACUCUACCAUUGAGCUACAAUCCCAGCCCAAGAUUUAAAAGUUUUCUGUUGUGCAAAUAAUUACAGGUAUAAUAUGUAUACUUCACUAGUAUCCCUUGAUAGAAUUGGAUAUUUCUAACCUAUAACAAUUGGUAGAAAAGAAAAUUACCACAAAGUAUGAUAGCUAGCACAUGCAGUAAUCCCAGCUUUUUGGGAUGCUGAGUCAAGAAGAUCACAAAUUCAGACCAUCUGGAACAACAUAGUGAGACCCUGUCUCAAAAUAAAAACACAAAUGGCUGGGAAUAUAGCCCAGUGGUAAAGUGUCCCUGGGUUCAAUUCCUGGUACCACUAAAUGGAUAACAAGAGAUUGCUGCUUAUAUGAAUGGACUUACCCUGUGUAAAAACUGCUAAUUCUAGGUAAUACCAAAUUGUCUCUGAAACAUUUUUCUAGGAGUGAAAAAGUACACAUAAAAACAAUUAGUGCUGGGCUGUGGUUGUAGCUCAGUGGUAGCGCGCUUACCUGGCACAUGUGAGGCAUUGGGUUCAAUCCUUAGCACCACAUUAAAUAAAUAAAUAAAAAUAAAGCGAAGGUAUUGUGUUCAUCUACAACUUAAAAAAAAAAAAAGCUAUUAGUGCUCAUUGCUAAUAAAUAUUUUUUCCUUCAUCCUCUGAAUGUUCUCAUUCAGUGAGAACUGAAAGAGUAGACUGAUCUGUUUAUUUGUUUUGUACUGGGGAUUGAACCCAGCUACACUCCCAGCCAUUUUUAUUUUUUAAAUUUUGAGAUGGGGUCUUGCUGAGUUGGUGGAUUCACUUAGUUGCUGAGGUUGUAUUCAAACUUGUAAUCCAUUUGCCGCAGCCUUGCAAGUUGCUUGAAUUAUAGGGGUGUGCCACCCCACCCAAUUCUUAUUUGUGAAGUUGAGGCUUUUCUUAUACUGUAUGUUUUAUAAUCUGGGAUAUUUUUGAUCUAUUUUAAUGACAUAUAUUAGAAAUUAUAGUGAAAAUUUAAAUAUGAACUUUGGCUGAGAGCAUAGCUCAAUGGUAGAGUGCCUACCUUGCAUUAAUAAUGUUGUGGGUUCAAUCCCCAGUACUAUACAAAAAAUAUUUUUAAAUAAGUAAAUAAAAUUUAGAAAUAAACAAAUGGCCCCAGGACUGCAUAAAAAAAUUAAAUAGCAAUGGUUUGUAUUCAUUUACAACUAAAAACAUUAAAAAUAAAUAAAUAAAAUGUUCAAUUUGGAUGUUAUCAAACUCUGGAGCAGACCACCUUAGACUUGUCCUGAGUUUUCAAGUCUUUGAAACACUGUCAGAUGCUCAUUUUGAAAUUAUUAAAAUAUUUUGCUACCCCUUUUUUGGCGGGGUCCUGGGGAUUGAAUUCGGGUCACUCAACACUGAGCCACAUCCCCAGCCCAGUUUUGUGUUGUAUUAGAGACAGGGUCUCACUGAGUUGCUUAGUGCCUCAUCAUUGCUGAAGCUGACUUUGAAUUCGCCAUCCUCCUGUCUCAGCCUCCCCAAACCGCUGGGGUUACAGGUAUGUACCACCGUGUUCAGCUAUGUUUUGCUACUUUUUUUUUUAAUAUUUAUUUUUUAGUUGUAAUUGGACACAAUAUCUUUAUUUUAUUUAUUUUUUGUGGUGCUGAGGAUCAGACCCAGGGCCUCACACAUGCUAGGUGAGUGCUCUGCCGCUGAGCCACAAUCCCAGCCCCUGUUUUUCUACUUUUGUGCUGGUUUAAAUUCUGGUAUUGUGGGCUGGGCAUGUGGCUCAAGCAGUAGCACGCUCGCCUGGCAUGCGUGCGGCCCGGGUUCGAUCCUCAGCACCACAUACAAACAAAGAUGUUGUGUCUGCCGAAAACUAAAAAAUAAAUAUUAAAAUUCUCUCUUUAAAAAAAUAAAUAAAUAAAUUUUGGUGUUGUGACUUUAGGCAGUUUUUUUUUUUUAGCUUUUCUGAGGUUUUUUUCAUCUGUAAUUUGGGUAUAAUUACUUCUCACAGGGUGAUUUUUGAAAACCAAAUGAGCCAGGCAUGAUCGUGCCCCUAUAAUUCCAUCAAAUCUGGACAUUGAGGCAGAAGGAUUGCAAGUUCAAAGCUAGCCUCAGCAAAUUAGCAAGGCCCUAAGACACUGUCUCAAACAAUAAAUUAAGCUGGGCACAGUGGUGCAUGCUGAAGAGGCUGAGGCCAGAGGAUCAUGAGUUCAAAGCCAGUGUCAGCAAAGGCAAGGCACUAAAGGACUCAAUGAGACCCUGUCUCUAAACAAAAAAUAAAAUAUGGCUGGGGAUGUGGCUUAGAGGUUGAGUGUUCCUGAGUUCAAUCCCUGGUACCAAAAUAUAUAAAUAAAUAAAAUUUUAAAAAAGGACUUGGAGUGUGGGUCAGUAAACACUCCUGGAUUUAAUACCCAGUACCAAAAUAAUAAUAACAGUAAUAACAACAACAACAAAAAUAACAAAAAAUAGUAACAACAAGAACAAUAAUAAUGAUUUUCAAAAACCAGUAACAGACCAGGCAUGUUGAUGCGUGCCUGUAAUCCCAGUGAUUUAGGAAGCUAAGGUAGACAAAUUUGAAACCAGCCUUAGUAAGUUUAAACCCCCUCCCCCUUACUGUAAAGAAAUAAAGGUCUGGGGUUGUGGUUCUGUGGUAGAGAGCUUGCCUGGCAGGUAUGAGGUACUGGGUUGAUUCUCAGCACUAAAUAGCCUAGCCUUGUGCAUGCUAGGCAAGUGUUCUAUGACUGAGAUGUGAAAUAAGGGUCCAUUGACAACUAAAAAUAUAUUAGAAAAAUAAAUCAAUAAAAUAAACCUCUGAAAUGAAGGAGUGAGAAACAGUGAAUGCGAUAGGUAAUUAAAGAAGAAAGACACACUUGAAUGGUACCUGAUAGAAUUCACCAACAAAUAAUUCAGUGGUGCGUAGAGGAGACUAUUGCCUGGAGCACUAGCCAUCACUUCCAAGGAUUUCAAGGGAGUGGGAGAGCUGUUGUCUGCUGGGAUAUUAGAUAAUUCCAUUUAUUUUAAUUUCUUUUAAUAUUUGAGAUUGGGUCUUGCAGUGUUGUUCAACCUGGUCUUGAACUCAUGGGCUUAAGUUAACCUUCCACCUCAGCUUCCUGUGUGGCUGGAACUAUAGGCAUAUUCCACCACACCCAGUUUUGGAUAUUAUCUUAAUGGUUACUCUCAGAACCCUCACAUAACACUGAUUUAGUUAGGGUUUUUGCAUUUUACUUACAGUACAGCACUGUUCAAUAAAUAGAAUAUUCUGUGAAGAUGAAUGUGUUCUAUGUCUGCAUUGUCUGAUAGUAGUACUUACUAGGGCUGGGGCUGUAGCUCAGUGGCAGAAGCUUGCCUAGCAUGUGUGAGGCACUGGGUUGGAUCCUUAGCACUGCAUAAAAAUAAAUGAAGGUAUACUGUCCAUACACAACUACCAAAAAAAAAAAGUAUUCACUAACCAUGAGGCUUUUGAACACUUGAAAUGUGAUUAGCAUGACUGAGGAACUGAAUUUCUUUAUUUUUUUGUACUGAGAAUUGAACCCAGGGGUACUCUACCACUGAGCUACAUUUCCAGUCCUUUUGUUAAUUUUCUGAGACAAUUUUUUAUUUUGUUCAGUUGAUAAGGCUGGCCUCCUGCUUCAGCCUCCCAUAUUGUUCGGAUUACAGGCAUGAAUCACUGCAUCUGAACUGAAUUUCUAGUUUCACCUAAUUUUCAUUAAAUUGAAUAGCCACACGCAGGGUAUGGUGGCACUUGCCUAUAUAAUUCCAAACUUAGGAGGCUGAGGCAGGAGGAUUGCAAAUUCAAAACCAGUCUGAGCAAAUUAGCAAGCCCUAAGCAACUUAGUGAGACCCUGUCUCAAAAUAAAAAAUUUAAAAAAUGGGUUAGGGUUGUGGCUUAGUGGUAAAGUGCCCCUUGGUUCAAUUUGUGGUACCAAAAUUAAAAAACAACCAAUUAAUGAAUAGAAUGACCACAUGUGGCUUGUUGCUAGUAUUUUGGACAACGCAGUUACAGAAGGUUAUAGCACUUGGGAUUUAUUAUUAUUAUUAUUAUUAUUUUUAAAGAGAGAGGAAGAGAGAGAGAAUUUUAAUAUUUAUUUUUUAGUUUUUGGCGGACACAACAUCUUUGUAUGUGGUGCUGAGGAUCGAACCCGGGCCUCACACAUGUCAGGCGAGCACACUACUGCUUGAGCCACAACCCCAGCCUGGGAUUUAUUAUUUUUAAAAUAUGAUUUUUGUGGCAUAAUUUCUUAUUCUCAAAUUAAUGAUAAUGAGUAUUUCCUAUCAUUGAGUUCUAUUUAAGGGCAUAGCCUAAUAUCUCAAAAGCUGCAAUAGUGAAUUGACCAGUGAGCUAUUUGAUUGUGAUAAAGUUAUCUGUGUACAGAUCACCAAAAGUUUUUUGGUUUUGUUUUUGGUAGUGUGUAUUGGAUCCAUGGACACUUUUACCACUGAGCUACAUGCUCAGUCCUUUUUUGUUUUUAAUUGUUUGAGAAAUGGUUUUGUUAAAUUGUGAAGGUCUUGCUAAGCUGCUGAAGCUGGCCUGAAGCAAUCCUUGUGCCUCAGCCUCCCUAGUGGCUGGGAUUAUAGGUUUGCAGCACCACGCCCAGUUGUUUGUUUAUUUUUUGAGACAAGGUCUCACCAAGUUCCUGAGUCUGGCCUCAAACUUGUGAUUCAUUAGCCUCAGCUUCUUGAGUAGUAGGGAUUAUAGGCGUUUAACACCUUGACCAACUAGUUCUUUCUUUUUGUUUUGUUUUUGCAGUAUUGGCAACCUAACCCAGAGCCUUGCAUAUGUUAGGAAAGCAGUGUACCACCGAGCUACAUCUCCAGACCUAGAAAGUGACUUACUUAUGUAGGCGAAUUCCCAAUAUCAUUAUGUAGUUUUCUCUCCAAAUAACAUGAGGCAGCUUUUUUUUGUUGUUGUUGUUGUUGUUGUUUGUAAGGUAUUGGGGAUUGAACCCAGGGGUACUUAACCACAGGGCUAUAGAUCCAGCCUAUUUUAUUUUUUUUAAUACAGGGUCUCACUAAGUUGCUUAGGGCUUCACUGAGUUGCUGAGGUUGGCUUCAAAUUUUCAGUCCUUCUGCCUCAGCCUCCUGAGUCAUUGGGAUUACAGGCGUGCGCUACUGUGCCUAGCUGAGGCUGCCUUUUAAAUUUUAAAUUGCAUGUAUUUAUCAAGAUUGCUUUUUUUAAUUAAUUAUUUUUUUAAUUCUAAUUAGUUAUAAAGACUGCUUUUUUGCUAUGUAUAUAUGUAUAUACAUAAGUGGAAAUACAAAGGAUAAGACAUUACUUGGUAUAUUGGUGUGGGAAUGUAAGUAGCUUUUUUUUUUUUCUUGGUAGUAAGAAUUGAAUCUAGGGAUGUUGUACCUCUGAGCUACAUAUCCAGCCCUUUUUUAUUUUGAGAUAGGGUCUUGCUAAGUUGUUUAUUAGGGCCUUGCUAAAUUGCUGCAACUGGCCUGGAACUUGUGAUUCUCCUGUCUCAGCCUCCCAAGUCUUUGGGACAGGUGGGCAUACCACCACACCUGGCUCAAAUAGUUCUUUUUAAAUUAAAAUACAUAUAUGUGUGUGAGUGUGUGUAUAUGUGUAUAUGGAGAGAGAUAUAGAUACAGCUUUUGUGAUGUUGGGAAUCAAACCCAGGGCCUUGCUUAUGCUAAGUAAGUACUCUACCUCUGAGCUGCAUCCUCAGUCUAAAACAGUAAAUUCUAUAUUAGUAAAAUAAGAUAAUUUCUUCUUUUCUUUCUUUUUUCUUUUUUUGGUCAUGCUGGGUAUCUAACCUAAGACCUCUAACCCAGAGCCUAGUGCUUCCUAGGCAGGUGCUCUACCACUGAGCUAUACUCUCAGCCCAGAUAAUUACUUUUUACAUUUCUUCCUAAAAAUACUUCCGGAGGAUAUGGUAGUCACUUUGUCUAGAUAAGUUUGUGUGGUUUUAUUCUGAUGUUUAAUUUUAUAGACUAAUGUUUUCUUAUAUUUACCAUGGCAUGAACAUUAAAUAUAAAGCCUUUGGGAUCUAGAGGGACAUGAAUCAGUUAAAUUUAACAAACAUUACUAAAAUUGUUCUUUUAGUUUUUUAAAUUAGACUGUAAUGCUCAAUUAAGCAUUCUUGGAAAAUUCAUAGAAGGGAUCCAAUAAUCUUAAUUUUCCACCACCCUUUUAAUCUCAUUUUAGCUGCACUAGGAGUUCAGCAGCCUUCACUUCUUGGAGCGUCUCCUACCAUUUAUACACAGCAAACUGCAUUGGCAGCAGCAGGCCUUACCACACAAACGCCAGCAAACUAUCAGAUAACACAAACUGCAGCAUUGCAGCAACAAGCCGCGGCUGCAGCAGCUGCAUUGCAACAGGUGAAUUUCUAAUAGGUUUUAAUAUGGAAUAUUGAAGACUGUGAUAUCUGAGUAGCUAGGAUUGCUAUCUCCAUUUUUUAAAAAAAUGAAGAAUUGUGGCUCUUGUUAUGAUUUUUUUUUCUGACAAUCAAUAUUAUACUGUAUAUGCCUAACAUGUAUAGGGGGAAGUAUAGUCAUAUAGUGAAAAUUCUUUAGUUUUUAAAUUGGACAUUUCUCAUACCUCAAUUAUUUGAAAAAACUUCAGCCUUUGAUGGAUUCCAGAGUAUAAGUAAUAAUAAUUUUAUGUAUUUUAGAUGUUUAUUCUAGAAAAUUUCAGGGUAAUUUUGGUUGUGUAUUUCUGUGUACAUAUAUAUCGCUUUUUUGAGAAUAAUAUGUUGAUAGCCAUAUUUUUCUUUGAAUAAUCUUUUUUUUUUUUAAUUUUUCAGCAAUAUUCACAACCUCAACAGGCCUUGUAUAGUGUGCAGCAACAGGUUAGUUUUUAUUUUCCAUGUUAAGAACUGAUUUUAAAAAAGCCAUGUGUUCCAAAAUUAAAUUGACACAGAUUUGUAUUUAUAUUUCUUUUAGCUAUCAUAAUAUAUGACUUGAAUUCUUUGGUGGGAGUAGGGGAUAUGGAGUAGGAAAAAAGAGAAGAUCCUAAAAACCCAAAUCUUCAACUAGUAGCCAGUCUUCUGAGACAGUAUGUUGAGGAUAAUCUGGAAUGAACCACUCUGAUUCUUUGGACUAUGCUCCUGUCUGGACUCGAACCUCUGUGCUACUCUGCUGAAUUAGAUCACUUGGGAAAAGUAAAAGCUCUUUUUCCUACUUGAAGCCUAAUCCUUUCGUGGGUCACUAGCUUUCAACCUUUAUUUUUUAGGUAGUAGAAUUUAUUGAGUUUUUGUUUCCUUCCCUCUAAUGAAAUGAUGAAUGAAACCCAAGAUACAAAAUAUUUAAAUAAAACUGUUGAAAAUGGGAGGAAGCCUCCCCUUAUAGUUCAUACCCUAUUCCUGGGCAUUUUCGAACAGUAUGAAAAUUCUUAACUUAGACUUAAAACAUGUUUCUUUGGCCCCUUAAACUCAUCCUCUAAUCAUUUCUCUUAAGGUCUUACCUCUGGGAGCUAGGAAGUGGUAAGAAAAUACACGAUUAUUAAGGAAGGAAAGUUUGCCCUGCUGAAAUCUAGAUAAGUUUUAGACUAAGUACCCAUUCUCAUCUUGUCCAUAGCGCGGAGGUAGUGUUCAGUCCUUAUGAGUAUUAUUGUUAAAAACGUUUUAGGAACAGGGGUGUAGCUCAGUGGUAGAGCAUUUGUGUAGCUUGGGGUUCAUUCCCUAGCACUGCCUCCCACUCAAAGGAAAAAAAAAUUUUCCAGGACAUACAGCUCUCAGAAGAAGAAAAUGGUAUACAAAAGAGGAUCCAAAAAUUGGAUCCAAGGACAAUAUUGAACCAGGUGUGGUGUUGUAUACCUGUAAUCCCAGCUACUUGGGAAGCUUAAGCCAGAGGAUCACAAGUUUGAGGCCAGUCUCAACAAUAUAGUGAAGUCCUAUCUCAAAAUAUAAAGGAUUGGGCUGGGUGUGGUGGCACACACCCGUAAUGCCAGUGGCUCAGGAGGUUGAGGCAGGAGGAUUGCAAGUUCAAAGCCAGCCUCAGAAACUUAGUGAGGCACUUUACAACUCAGCAAGACCCUGUCUCUAAAUAACUCAGUGGUUGAGCAUCCCUGGGUUCAAUCCUCAGUACCAAAAAUAAAUAAAUAAUAAAGGGCUAGGGGUGUUGCUCAGUGGUAGAACACUUGAAUUGCAUGGGUGAGAUCCUGGAGUUUAAUCCACAGUACUGCCAAAAAAAAAGAAAAAAAAACACAGUGUGUAGGAAUAUUAGGACUUCUCAGUCCAUAAGCUCUUGUCACCAGAUCCAUAGUCUAUUUUCAUCUUUGGCUUAAGCCCUUUGGGCCUUCAAAAGCAUUUCAUUUUCACUGAAGAUUACGGUAUUUCGCUAGUACUUUAAACUUCUGAAAAUGGACAAGAGACUAAUCUCACAAUUACCUUGUUUUUAAAUUCUCUGAGAGGGGCGUUGGGGGGUAUGUGGCUCUGUGGGUGGUAGAGCACUUUCCUAGAGUGCACUGAGGCCCAGAGUUCAAUCCCGGCACCACAUAGAAAACUUGUCAUAAAUUAAAAAUACCCGUAGACUUAUAUUUAUUAAGUUAUGAAACACUAUUAAAGAUUUUAUGAGCUGGGUGUGGUGGCACCUGCCUGUAAUCCCAGCAGCUCAGGAGGCUGAGGCAGGAGGAUCACGAUUUCAAAGCCAGCCUGUGAGGUGCUAAGCAACUCAGUGAGACCCUGUCUCUAAAUAAAAUACAAAAAAGGGCUGGGGAUGUGGCUCAGUGGUUGAGUGCGACUGAGUUCAAUCCCUGGUCCUACCCCCACAAGAAAAAAAAAAUUAUAACAAGGUACGUUGAACCACAUAAAGAUGGCGGUACUCAGCUACUCUUACAGAAAAAAAAAUAGUAUUUUAAUAAGGUUGAAACUCUUAAUAAUUGGUUAUUGCAGGUAAUCUGAGUAUUUUGAAUUAGAACCUCAUAUAGGUUCUAUUAUCCUCACAUAUAUUGUUUUUAUUCCAGAAUUUAUAAGUUUUCCUCCUCGCUUCAGUUCCUUUUCCUUUCUGGUAAUGGUGUAUUUUUCUAUUAUCAGAGAAACCUUAUGUCAGAGUGUAUGGUUCUUCAUGGUAUGCAUGUCUAUGGCAAAUCCAACCAUUAGGAGUGCUUCUCAUAUUGCAGGAUAUUUAUAUAUGAAUUGGAUGGCCAAUUUUAUUCUUUGGUACAAUUACUAAAUUGGUGAUAUUGAAUCAUUUCUGUAGCAUCGUAAUUAGCAUAUUGUGGAACUAGAAAUCUUUAGGGAAUUGUGGACUUUUUAGAAUAAUUUUUAUGGUGUUAUUUCUAUGAAAUAACAACAGAAAUCAUUUUCUUUAUUAAAUAUAGCUGUAUGUGUGACUUCUUAGUACUAGGUGUGCAGUUAGAAAUAGUUGUAGGUAGACUUAUGCUAAUUAUGUGUUACCUUUCACAUUUUUUAAAAAAUAAUAUUUAAAAGUAAUUUUUCCAUUUAUAAAACAUCUAUGAAACAAAAAUUGAUCGUUCCUUUUCUUUUGUAUGUUUUUUUGUUUUGUUUUUUGUUUUUUUCCUAUUUUCAGUUACAGCAACCCCAGCAGACCCUUUUAACACAGGUUAGUUUGGCAUUACUUUAUUUCUUUUGAUUAUCUGAAUAAAGAGUAGACUAAUGUUUUAUUUCUAUUCUAGUUUUUAUUUCAGAGUUUAAAGGUAUUUGUUGUAUUCACAUAAUAAUUUAGCAGUAUAUUGCUAAAUAAAGGUGAAAAUUUGUUAUUGUGUUUUGAUUGCAAGCCCAGCUAUUGUAUAGCUUGAAUAAAUAAGAAUUUUUAUUUUAAGUUUAAUACUGAUUUUUUGCUUUUAUAUUUUCUUUAUAGCUAAAGUUUUGGAAAUUUUUGGAUGUUUCAUUUUUAACUUGACCUUAGUAGGUAAAGUCAUCAUGUUAUCAGUUUGAUUUUUGAGCAACAUUAAAAUGUUUUGGAACUUUUGGGCCUGAUGGUAUAGUUCUGGUAGAGUGCAUGUUUUAGCAUGUGUGAGGCCCUGGAUUUAAUUCAUACCUAGCUCAAAAAAUAAAAAUAAAGUUUUGAAUUUUUAAUAUGUACUGCUACCUUAGGGCUUGUUACAAACCACUUAGUUUCUGUCAUAAUUUUUUUUUCUUACAACCCUUUAAAAGGUGUUAAAAACAUUCCUUGCUUAUUAACUAAGGCAUUGGGCUUUAUUUGGCCAAUGGACCAUGGUUCACUGGUAUUUUUGUACAGUAAAUAUUAAGCAGUUGUUAAAAAUGAAACAGAAUCCCCAUGUUGGGGAUUGAACCCAGGGCCUUGUACAUGCUGUGUAUCCCCUCUUACCACUGAGUUCCACACUCAUCCCUAGAACUUAAUGUAAAAUUAUAUCUCAGAUAUGGGAGGUAGAGGAAAAAGUAUGGUGCAAUAUGCAUUGUAUGUUUCCAUUUACUUAGGAGGGAAGUGGAGGAUAUCAUUUAUCAGUGUGUGCAUUAUCUCCAAAAGGCCCUUGAUAGUAAAAGGUGAUGUGAUUGCUUUAUGCAUAAGAAACUGGGUGGCUGAGGAACAAGGAUAGGAGAGAAGCUUUUCACUGUGUAACUUCUUGUAUCUUUUUAGUCUUUUUUAAAAGUAAAGGAUUAAAAGUAUUUUUUAAAAGAAAAAUGCACUACAUUUAAGAAAUCAAUUAUACUGUUCUUAUUAAAGAACUAAAAUCCAGUAAUACCGAUCUUACUUUCAAUUCCCAACAUGAGAAUUUCAAAAUUAAAUAGAAUAGCUGUAGAAGUUUCUUUCCUUACCAUAACAUCUCCCAGUGUGUGCCCAUAAAGUAUAACUAUCUUAAGAUGUUAAAGAAAUUUUUUGAAGGUUUUUUCCCCCCCACUAUUGGGGAUUGAACCUGGGGGUACUCUGCUAGUGAGCUAUUUUUAUUUCUGAGGAUUGAGCGCCUGAGUGCUUUACCCCUGACUUAAAUUCCCCAGACCUUUUGUUAUUUAUUUAUUUAUUUUUAAACAUCAAAUUGUAUACUUUAUUUUUAUGUGGUGCAGAGGAUCAAACCCAGUGCCUCACACAUGCCAGGCUAGUGCUCUGCUACUGAGCUAUAAUACCAGUCCCUUUUAUUUUUAUUUUGAGACAGGGUCUCACUAAGUUGCUUUUGGCUUCCCUGGGUUGCUGAGGUUGGCUUGAACUUGUGAUCUUCCUGCCUUAAGCUCUCAAAUUGCUGGGAUUAUAGGCAUGCACCACCAUACCUUCCUUUUUAUUUUGAAACAGGGAUUUGAUAGACUGUCCACAAUAGUUGUGAACUUGUGAUCUUCCUGCCUCAACUUCCCGAAUACUGGUGCACCACCAGACAUAGUGUUUUUUUGUUGUUGUUGUUGUUUUUUGAAGUGGUGUCUUUGCCAUGUUGCCCAGUUUCAUAUAAAACUUAUGGAUACAAGUAUUCCUCCUGCCUCAGUCUCCAAGUAGCUUGGACUACAGGAAGAAAUUUAUUUAUUUUUGGUACUGGUGAUUAAACCCAGGCACAUAACCAUUGAGCCACAUUCCAAGCCCUUUUUGUUUUUUAUUUUGAGACAGGGUCUCACUAAGUUGCUGAGGCUGGGCUCAAACUUGCCUAAGUUGAUGAAAUACUGAGUUCUUUGACUAUAUUUUGGAGUUUCCUAAACCUUUAGUGUGCUGAUAAGGAUUUUGAUUUUUUUGUUUGUUUUUUGGAGGCGGGGUGCUGGAAUUGAAUCCAGGGGUACUUCACUACUAAGCUACAUUUUCAGUUUUUUUAUUUUGAAAAAUGCUCUAAGUUGCUGAGGCUGGCUUCUUAACUUGUGAUCCUCCUGCCUCAGCAUCCCAAAUAGUAAGGAUUAUACAGGCAUCUGACAUUACACCCAGCUUUUUUGUUUGUUUUUUUGGUGGUGGUACUGGUGCUUGAACUCAGGUUCUUGCAUAGACUAGGCAAGUUCUCUUGCACUGAGCUACAUCCCCAGUCUUUUCUGGACUUUGAAUUUCUAAGAGGGAGUUAAAAUAGUAUUUUUACAACUCAUUGAACGAUGAUUCUUUUGCCUUGGAGCAACCCUGAAAAUACUCAUUUGAGGAAAGUUAUGGAUGAAAUAAGUUAAAUAAUUUUAUAGAUUUUCAGACUUAGUUCUCUCAAGGUGUACAUACAUAUAUUUUAUAACUUCAUAUAAUUUUUAACAUUUUGGGCUAAAAUUGUCAUUUUUAAUUUCCAGGUAAUUUCAAGUCAUUAUCUUAAUAUGAUGUUGAUUUUCUUCAAUAGCCGGCUGUUGCGCUGCCUACAAGCCUUAGCCUGUCUACUCCUCAGCCUGCAGCACAGAUAACUGUAUCUUAUCCAACACCACGGUCCAGUCAGCAACAAACCCAACCUCAGAAACAACGUGUUUUCACAGGAGUGGUUACAAAGCUACACGAUACAUUUGGAUUUGUGGAUGAAGAUGUAUUCUUUCAGCUUAGGUAAACUUCAUUAGGUGUUGAGAUGACUUAUUGAAUUCUGUAUAAAGUACUUGUGAUAAAGAUAAGCUAAAAUUUUCUGUUUUAAUCAUUCAGUUUGUAUUAUGGUCCUAUCUGUGAUGUGUUUGGGUGGAAAAAUGUGGUUAAGUAUAUGUUUUGAUUAUUGAACAUCAACUAAUUGUGAAUUCUUUUUUUUUUUUUUAGUUGUAGAUGGACACAAUACCUCUAUUUAUUUAUUUAUUUUUUAAUGUGGUACUGGGGAUCAAACCCAGUGCCUCACACAUGCUAGGCAUGCUCUGUACCACUGAGCCACAACCCCGGCUCUAAUUGUGAAUUCUUUAUAAAUAUUUUCUUAGAACUAGGUGGCAUUUCUAACUCUUCAUGGGCAGACUUUGAGAUUGGGGGUUGAUUAAUUAUGACUUUUAAAUCCUAAUAUUCUGGUUUGACAUAUCUGAUGAUAUAGACUAAGAAUUUUUUUUUUUAAUUGAAAAGUUAGUGAACAGGAUCAAAUGGUUGAUGGACAAACAUUCACAAUAGUACUUUGGUUCCUUUAUGGUAGUUGUAGGCAAUAUGAAUUUUCUUAGAUAUAUCAAGAAUAUUUCUAAUGAACUUCCUUAGAAUGGUCACAUUUGGGACUCAGUUGCUGUAGAAGAUUUUUGUAUAAAAGGGAUUCCCAUUUUUUUGUCGUCUUUCCAAAACCUGAAGCAAAUUUUACCUUUGGGCUCUAAAAGUUAGUGCCAUAAGCAGAAGGACAUAACUUAGGAGAUUAUGAGGUGGUAAAUUAUUUCUUGCACUUCAAAACUUCUGUUUAUAUAUAGAGGGUGAAACGUUCAGUUCUGAAAUGAGUCUACAGAUAUAUCUACUUUUGUAAGAGCUCUCCAGUCUUCCAUUUCUGGUAUAGUGUGUUUAUUUAUUUAUUUAUUUAUUUAUUUUUAGUUAUAGAUGGACAAAAUACCUUCUUUUAUAUUUAUGUGGUGCUGAGGAUCAAACCUGGUGCCUCAAUUGUGCUAGGCAAAUGCUCUACCACUGAGCUACAACCCAGCCAUAUAGUGUAUUUUGUGUGUGUGAGAGAGUGUGUGUGUGUGUGUUUGUCUGUGUGUGGCUGGGGAUUGAACCCAGGGCCUUUUGCAUGUGAGGCAAGCACUCUACCAACUGAGCUAUAUCCCCAGCCCCUUAAAGUGUAGUUUUAAAUGCUAAGUGUGUAAAUUUGAGGGUGGGGCGAUGUCUUUUUUUUUCCCCCCAAAUAUUUUUUAGCUGUUGAUGUACCUUUAUAUUAUUUAUUUGUAUGUGGUGUUGAGAAUCUAACCCAGCGCCUCACACAUAUAAGGCAAGCACACUGCCACUGAGCCACGACCCCAGCCCCUUGGGGGGCGAUCUCUUAAUUGUGUUUAUUUUUUUUCCCCCAGUGCCGUCAAAGGGAAAACUCCACAAGUGGGUGAUAGAGUAUUGGUUGAAGCUACUUAUAAUCCUAAUAUGCCUUUUAAAUGGAAUGCACAAAGAAUUCAAACACUACCAAAUCAGGUACAUAAAAUAUUGAACUAAUUAUCAUGGAAAUUUGGUAAUUGAGUCUUCCAUUUGACAAAAAACAUUUUAUCUCUUUUGUUUUUAUUAAGAAUCAGUCCCAAACCCAACCUUUACUGAAGACUCCUCCUGCUGUACUUCAGCCAAUUGCACCACAGACGGCAUUUGGUGUUCAGGCUCAGCCCCAGCCUCAGUCACUACUGCAGGCACAGAUUUCUGCCGCUUCUAUUACACCACUACUGCAGACUCAGCCACAGCCUUUAUUACAGCAGCCACAGCAAAAAGGUAUUGCGUGCAUGUAUUCUUGUUUUUAAUUUCAGACUAAUGUGUGUUAUGAUUUAUUUGUUCAAAUAUAAAGAACAUGCUUUUAAUUAUAAAAUAGGCAGGGACAUCCAGGAGGUUGAAAAAGAAGGAUCUUUUGAGCAAGUGAGUAUAUGACCAGACUGAGCAAUAUAGUGAGACCCUAUCUCAAAAUGUCUGACAGGGACUUUGAGGAAACUUGAAAGGAAGCAUAAAUAUCCUGAACAAAACAUCCUGUAAUUCUCUACUUAUAUGGAAGUAGUUUUGUUUUAUUUCUUGUAGUGAUAACAAAUUCAGUGAAUAGGAAAUUCAAAGAUAUGUUUCUUGUGUACUUAAAUAUCAGAACUGUUAUCCCUUGUGCCCCCUUUUGGUAUCACAUACCAACAAUAUUUUAUUUAUACAUGUGAAUCUUUUCUUUUUAAUUAAUUAAUUUUUAUUCAUUUUAUUGAUUUAUUUUGGUACCAGGUAUCGAACCCAGGGGUGCUUAACAACUGAGACACAUUAUCAGCUCUCCCCCCCAAUACAUGGAGUAUAACUUAUUCUAAUUAGGAUUUUAUUCUUGUGGUUGUACAUGAUGUGGAGUUACCCUUGUCUGGUAGGAAAGGAAAGUUAUGUCUGAAUAAUUCUAUUGUUUUUUUCUUUUCCCUCUCCCCUCCCUUCCCUUCAUUCCCCUUUGUUUAAUCCAAUGAACGUCUAUUCUUCCCCUCCUAUCCUUGCUUGUGGAUUAACAUACACAUAUCAGAAAAUUUAGCCUUUGGUUUUUUGGGACUGGCUUAUUUCACUUAGCACUGAUAUUUUCCAGUUCCAUUCAUUUACUAGCAAAUGCCAUGAUUUCAUUCUUUAUGUCUGAAUAAUAUUUCAUUGUGUAUAUAUACCACAUUUUCUUUAUUCAUUCAUCUGUUAAAGGACACUUAGGUUAGUUCCAUGGUUUAGUUAUUGUGAGUUGAGCUGCUAUAAAACAUUGAUGUGGCUGCAUCAUCUAGUAUGCUGAUUUUUACGUUCUUUGGGUAUAAAUCAGGGAGUGGGAUAACUGGAUUAAAUGGUGGUUCCAUUUCAUGUUUUCUGAGGAAUCUCCAUACUGCUUUCCAUAAUGGUUGCACCAAUUUGAAAUCCUCCUGUACAUGUGAACUGGUGUUAGUAAUUCUGUUAUGUUAUUGGGGAUCAAACCCAGGGGUGCUCUACAACUGAGCUACAUGCCCCAGCCCUUUUUAUUUUAUUUUUGGUAGUGGGGAUUGAACCUAGGAACACUCUUCCACUGAGCUACAUUCCUAGCACCCCUCUUUUUUUAAUAUUUUUUUAAAAUAAGGGAAUGUUUUUAUACCUUGUUUUUAUUUAUUUGUUUUUAUGUGGUGCUAAGAAUUGAACCCAGUGCUUCACACAUUCUAGGCAAGCACUCUACCACUGAGCUACAACCUCAGCCCCUUUCCAGCCCUUUUUAUUUUUUGAGACAGUGUCUCACUAAGUUGCUUAGUGCCCUCACUAAAUUGCUGAGGCUAAAAGCCUUGAACUUAACUAUUCUGCCUCAGCCUUCCAAGUUUCUGGGAUAGUAGGUGUAAUGGUGGCUACAUCCAACCCUUGUUUAUUUUUUGAGACAGAGUCUUGCUAAGUUGUUCAGGUAAGUUGUUUGGGUUUGCCUCUAACUGUUUCAGCUUCACGACUUGCUGUAUAUACAAUUGUGUGCCACUGUGCCUGGGAUUAUACAGUGUUUAAAAUGGCAGUUAGCCUGCUGCAUGCCGUGAUACAUACGUGGAACCCCAGCAAUUUGGGAUGCUGAGGCAGUAGGAUAAAGGUUGGAGGCCAGGGGCUGGGGUUUUGGCUUAGUGGUGGAGUGCUCGCCUAGCAUGUGCAGGGUCUUGGGUUCGAUCCUCCGUACCACAUUAAGAUAGAGGUAUUGUGUCCAACUACAACUAAAAAAUAAAUAUUAAAAAAAAAAAAAAAAGUUGGAAGCCAACCUGGACCUGUUUCAAAACAAAAAAUAGAAAAGAUCUGGUUAUGUAACUCAGUGGUAGAGUAUCCCUAGGUUCAAUCAUUUUUAUUUAUUCAUUUUUUAAUAAUUUUAGUUGUAAAUGGACAUAAUAACUUUAUUUUUUUAUUUUUAUAGAUAUAAUUUGGCAUUUUCUCUUUCAUUGUAUGUUAUUAUACUAGAGCAAAGUGAUAAAACGUAUAACUCCAUGGUAUAGCUAUAGCAAAAUGAUAAAACCAGGUUACAGCAUAAUGGAUUAUUAAUUUUAAAUGAACACCUGAUUGUUCACUACUCAGGUCAAAAAAUACACAUUGCAUGCUGGGGAUAUAGCUCAAUUGGUAGAGUGCUUGCCUAACAGGCGUGAGGCCUUGGGUUCAAUCCCCAGCACUACCACCACCAACAACAAAAAACACAUUGCUAAUACUUGUGUAUAGUGCUAGGGAUCAAACCCAGUGCUGUGUUUCAUAACUGGCAAGCACUCUACCAGUGAACUACAUCCCUCAACACCCAUCUGCCUCCUUUUUUCUCAAAAUAUAUAUCCUGAAUACAAUUUACUUUGUCUGCUUUUGAACUUAAUAUGAGAUUCCACUUAUAUUCUAGCUUGUGUAAGGUUUUUUACACCAUUAUGUUAAAGUUUUUCCUUCUAUUUAUUUCAUGUGGGUAUAGUUUGUUCAUUUUCAUUGUGCAUUUCCAUUGUAUGAAUAUUGUACAAUUAUCUGUUCUCCUUUAGUAAUCAUUUGGUUAUUUCUUGUUUUGGUUUCUGUAAACAUUCUCGUGUGUUCACAGACAAUGUGUGUGACUUUUUCUAGGGUAUGUAUCUUUGAAUGGAAUUGUUGGGUGUGAGGAGUACAUAUAUCUUCUUAGAUAAUACCAAACUCUGUCCAAACUACUUGUUUCCUCCAAGUAUCUGACAGUUCUCUGAUCUCUGAUUUUUUUUCCUCAUAGUUUUCUUAAAAUAUCUUAUUUUACAAUUGUGAAUUGGGAUUUGAGUACCUAUUUGUUUGUUUUGAUACUAGGUUUUCAAACCUGGAUCUCACAUACUUAGCACUCUACCGCUGAGCUACAGUCCUUGCCCUAAGACAGGACCAGUUCUACAACAAAAUGUAUAAAUUAUGAUAACUGUGAAUGAACAAUUUUAUUCCCAAUUGUUAGACUAAUUUCAUCUAAUCUCAUAAUACUUUUGUACUUUCUUUAAAUGUGUUAGUUUAAUUUUAUUUUUUUCUGUAUUUUUUUUUUGAAGCUGGCUUAUUGCAGCCCCCUGUUCGUAUAGUUUCACAACCACAACCAGCACGAAGAUUAGAUCCACCAUCUAGAUUUUCAGGAAGGAAUGACAGAGGAGAUCAAGUGCCUAAUAGGAAAGAAGACCGAAGGUAUGUUUUAAGAAUAUAAUAUAGAUGGUGGUGGUGAUUAUUCAAAAUGUGAAUGCAUUUAAUGCCACUGAACUGUGCAGAUAAAACUGGUUAAUGUGAUAAACUUCGUGUCACAUACAUAUAACAUUUUUGGGGGGGUGGGUACCGGGGAUUGAACCCAGGGGUGCUUAAUCACUGAACCACAUCCAAAGCCCUUUUAUUUUUUGCUUUGAGACAGGGUCUUAAGGCCUUGAUAAAUUGCCCAGCAACAUAACAUUUAAAAAAUACAUUUUUGAAGAGUUAAAAAUGUGUUGUUUUUAUAACCUAUUACAUUAUUUCUUUAAAAAACUGCCAUUAUGCCAAAAAUAUUAGUAAUAAUUUUAUAUAAAUUUACUUUAAGUCGUGAAAGGGAAAGAGAAAGACGUAGAUCCAGAGAAAGAUCACCUCAAAGGAAACGUUCCAGGGAGAGGUCUCCCAGAAGAGAGAGAGAAAGAUCGCCUCGGAGAGUUCGGCGUGUUGUUCCACGUUACACAGUGCAGUUUUCAAAGUUUUCUUUAGAUUGGUAAGUUCUUUUUUUCUCUUUCAGUUAUUAACUUUGUAAUUUUGUAUAGAUUAGUGUGGAAUGUGUUAUAAUCAGGAUAUUUUACCUGAGAAAAUCAUGUGCUGACAUUUAGUGCUCUUAUAAGGAUAGAAAUGCAAUUUGAAGUAGUCAUUUAUUUCUCUGCUAAAGUGUAUUAUUUAUAGUACUCAUAACUUUAAAGUUAUCAACUAUUCAAAAAGAAAACCUCUAAAGGAAAUUCUGUUGUGAUGAAAUCAUUGCUUAACAUUAGAGUUAUUUAAGAUCCACAUUUAUUGAUGAAGAUCCACAUUAUAUGUGAUGAAGCAAUAACAAGUAAACCAAUUGUUUCAAGCUUACUUGUGAUAAUAUAGUAUAAAGUAUGAAUUGGAUCUGCGUAUGUUCUGAGACCUAUAUAAUAUACAUGUGUUUGUGUCCAUAAAUAAAUUAUUGAGCUUUUGGAAUCAGAGGUUGAGGCAAGUUACCAAGAAUUUCUCAGUUUUAGCUAUAAAAUCCAUUAGCUUGCAGAAUUAUUGUUUGGUUCAGUAUCUAGAGCACCCAGAGUGUGGCAAUUUUAGAUUUUCCUUAAUUGAUAAUAGUAGUGAGUUAUGAUGGCAACUAGGGUUACUAGAUUUAACAGAUGGAAAAAGCAAAUGGACAGUAAAAUAAGAAAAUCUUUAAAAGCAGUGUCAGAACUGUUUGGCAUAGGUGCAAAUAAUGUGUGUACUUGAAUGACCUGAGAAGAUAUAAUUUUUAAUAUUUAUUAUGUUGGCCUGUCAAAAGUUGAAAUUUCUGCAUAUUCAAUUCUAGAUCUGAUAAACAGUGUGAUUUAGUGUACUGAAUACCAAGAAAUUCUUAACUGGUGACUUUGCUUGUUUAUAUUACUUCAUUGUUUAUUUACUCUUAACUUUGGCCAGAUUAGCAAGUACUCUUAAUUUAUACUAGUUUUGUUAUUAUCCUUUUUUACUAUUAGGCUUAAAAAAAUCUGUUGGUACCAAAACUACUUCAUUCCCCAAGGUACUAAAUAGAGGAGCUCUAAUUUUUAUGCAUCUUUCCCAGUAUUAAACACUAUAUAGGAAGAGUUGGUCAGAUACAUAAUUGAGGCGGGCGCCAUGGCUCACACCCAUAAAUCCUAGCAGGUUGGGAGGCUGAGGCAGGAGAAUUGUGAGUUCAAAGCCAGCCUCAGCAACUUAGUGAGGCCCUGUCUAUAAAUAAAAUAUAAAAAAGGGCUGGGGAUGCGCCCUGCUAUCAAAAUAAAUAAGGAUAUGAAAUAGAACAGCUCCUACUAAGAUCACUUUCACAGUUUCACUUUUACUGCUAACAAUAUCAAUCAAACCCAUUACAAAUAAACAUCAUUUUAAAGUUUCCAUGUCUCCUUAAUCUGUAGUUCUGGAAAUCAAAUUUUUUAUACUAAUAUAAUUAUGAGCACUUAUUUGCAAUUAAUGCUUUAUGUGGACUUAUGUCUGUUUUAUCAUAGAUUUUAUUCCUAUGGGGUAAAACUUCUAAAAUUCUGGUACUGAGAAACUAUUACAUAUACUUUGUUCCUUAAAAAUAAAACUCAAAUAUAUUUUGCACACUUUUGAUACAAUCUUUAUUUAUUUUUUAGUUUUAGGUCGAUACAAUAUCUUUAUUUUAUUUUUAUGUGGUACUGAGGAUCGAACCCAGUUCUUCAUGCAUGCUAGGCAAAGUACUCUACCUCUGAGCCACAACCCCAACCCCUUGACAGAAGCUUAACCAGAUAAAGUAUAAUUAUAUCAGCAGCCACAAUAGAAAAUUAUCACAAAGUAAAAUAAAAAUAAAAUAAAAUAUUAUUUUAUUUUGUGAUGCUGGGAUUAAACCAGGGCUUUGUAUAUGCUAGGCAAUUAGUCUGUUUCUAAGCUAUAUACCCAAUGUAUCUCUAUUUUUUGUUUUUAGGUGUCUGAUAAAGACAUCUCUACAUAGAGAUUAGUUGUUUUUUUUUUUUUUCUCCUUCCUUUCUUCCUGUACUAGGGAUUGAACCCAGGGGCACUUUACCUGUGAAGUAUAUCCCCUGACCUUUUUAUUUUUAUUUUGAGAUGGGGGUCUCGUUAAGUUGCAGAAUCUGUCCUUGAACUGCCCAUCUUCCUGUCGCAGUCUCUUAAGUUGCUGGCUUACAUAUGUGCUCCAACAUGUCCAGCAGAAUUCAUGUAUGUGUUUCAUUUUUUGUGUGUCUGUGUGUGUGGUAAUGGGGGUUGAACCCAAUGGUACUCUAGUGAGCUACAUCUCCAAAUCACCAGCCAUUUUUUUUGUUUUGUUUUGAGACGGUCUCACAAAAGUGCACUCUUUCUGUCAUAGCCUGGUGAGUUUCUAGAAUUGGACCACCUCACCUGCUCAUUAUGCUUUUUUUUGUUUUUGUUUUUUUUUAGUUGGGCACAAUACCUUUAUUUUAUUUAUUUUUAUGUGCUGCUAAACCUAGUACCUCACAUAUUCUUGGCAAGUGCUGUACCCCUGAGAUAUAACUCUGACCCUCAAUUAUGCUUUUUAAAAAUUUUUUUUUAUAGUUGUAGAUGAAUACAACAUCUUUAUUUACCUUUAUGUGGUGCUGAGGAUAGAACCCAGGGUCUCACACAUGCUAAGCAAGUACUCUACCACUGAGCUACAAUCCCAGCCCAUCAGUUAUGCCCUUUUGUUCAAUUGUUUAUCUUUGAGUUUCUCGCCUUUAAAAUCUGGUUUUUAGGGGCUGGGGAUGUGGCUCAAGCGGUAGCGCACUCACCUGGUAUGUAUGCGGCCCGGGUUCGAUCCUCAGCACCACAUGCACCGCCAAAAACUUAAAAAAAAAAAAAUUGCUUUUUGGGGAAAAGGAAACUAAUUUUUUAAAAAAUUUUUAUUAGUUAUUGAUGGACCUUUAUUUAUUUUUUGUUUAUAUGUGGUGCUGAUAAUCGAACCCAGUGCCUCACACAUGCUAGGCAAGCACUCUACCACUGAGCCACAACCCCAGCCUCAGGAAACUAAUCUUUAAAAUAUCAGUGCCAGAUUUAAAAGGCAAGAGUUCUAUUUCCGUUUUACAUAAUAAUAAUAAUUAGGUAUUGAUUUACUUAAAUUCUUAUAGAGAAGUAUAGAGGUGUAGAUAAUAUAAAGAACACUUUAUAUAUAUUUUUUUCAUUUAUAUAUUUUUUUUCAUUUGUAUUUUAGUAUUUGAUUUUUAAUUUAAGUGUAAUGAUCUACAAGCUUAAUCUAGAAUAGAACUUGAAUUUUUUCUUUGCUGAAUAAGUCUGAUUAAGGGGUAUUUGAGUACUAAUUUGGUAUUACUCUUGUCCCUUCUUUGUAUGUAUUUUGUGGGAAUUAUGAUUUUUCUCAAGUAAUAUACAUUUUAAACUAAGUCAAAACUACUUUUGUUUCAGUCUUCUCUAGAGCUGUGGGUUUUCUUUAUUUCAAAGUGUCUUCUCUAAUGAAUUAUAAGCUACAUACAAAAAGUAGAGAAAUAAAGGUAACACUUAGAUACUGAUAAUUCAAAACUGCAACUAUAUACAAAUUUGUAAAAUAAAAUUUUCACAUGUCUCCAUCUGAAUUUGUACUUCAUUUAAUUGACUAUUUUCAACUUGCUUUUUACUCUGUAAGGUUAUUUAGCUUCAGAAUUAUGUGAAUGUAUAAUCUUUGGUGUAAGGCUGCUUAUUCACUACUUAUGUCUGUUUUUCAGUCCUAGUUGUGACAUGAUGGAACUAAGGCGCCGUUAUCAGAAUUUAUAUAUACCUAGUGACUUUUUUGAUGCUCAGUUUACAUGGGUGGAUGCUUUCCCUUUGUCAAGACCAUUUCAGCUUGGAAAUUACUGCAAUUUCUAUGUUAUGCACAGAGAAGUAGAGUCAUUAGAAAAAAAUAUGGCCAUUCUUGAUCCUCCAGAUGCUGACCAUUUAUACAGUGCAAAGGUUUGUAUUUGUGAUUUACAGCUUAAUUUCUUCGUAGUUGUUCAAAAAUAAGAGGAUAUGUGGAACCAUUCUUUUUUUGGGAGGGGAUAUGGGGGAUUGAACUCAGGGGCACUUGACCACUGAACCACAUCCCCUUAAGUAAUUUAACCUCUUUGUGCAUCACUUAUUAUGCAAUAAAAUAAUGGUUGUUUUAACAUUUUAAUCCUUAUAAAAAUGUGAAGAUGAAGUUGAAAGUUGAAUGUUAUGACUUUUUUGUUUGUUUGUUUUUUUAAUAUUUAUUUUUUAGUUUUCGGCAGACACAACAUCUUUAUUUGUAUGUGGUGCUGAGGAUUGAACCCAGGCCGCACGCAUGCCAGGCGAGCGCGCUACCACUUGAGCCACAUCCCCAGCCCUGUUUGUUUGUUUUUGUACUGGGGAUUUAACCCAGGGACACUUUACCACUGAGCUAUAUCCCCAACCCGUUUUAUUUUUUAUGACUUUUGGCCCCAGAUAAAAUUUAAUAUUGGUUGAAUGUACUGAAUUUUUGUCUUUAGGAUAACAUUCAGAAUAUGGCUUAUCAGAGUUAGUUUUCUUCUGGUUUAAAACAUUGUUUGAUCUAAAAAGCAUCCCUUAAAUCUCGAGUGGUGGCAGGCAGACAUUCAUAGUCAGGUAAUACAGUUUGUUGAGUCAAGUUGGCAGUUGUGAAGGACUCAAUUUGGUUUGUUAAGAGAUGCCCCAAGCUGGGAGUGGUGGCUCACGCCUGUUAUUCCAGCAGCUCAGGAGACUAGGCAGGAGGAUCUCAAGUUCAAAGCCAGCUUCAGCAAUUUAGCAAGGUCCUAUCUCUAAUGAAAUAUAAAAAGGGGUUGGGGAUGUGGUUCAGUGGUUAAGUGCCCCUAGGUUCAAUUCCUGGUACCAAAAAAAAAAAAAAAAGCUCAAACCUGAUAGAAAAGAAUUCCAGAAUAUUUCUAUAUGACAAUAGCAAUAGAUUUUGCUAUAAUGGGAUUUAGAAUGUCUUUGGAUGCUGUUAAAGUUCUUUUGAAAUUAACCUACCAUCCCUAUUAAUAACAUCAUUGUGGGUGGCUUAAUACUUUUUGUCGAAGGGUUUGAGAACCUCAUGAAGUAAAAUUUUGUUCCCUUUUCUUCCAAAAUAUUUUCUAUUUGUAAAUUAAAAUAAUUUCAGAAAUUUAAAAAAAUCUUCCCUUGAUAAGUUAAAACUUUAUAAGGUAUUUAAUAUUUUAACUUAUUUCUGUAACAUUUUGCAUUCAUUUUUAUGAGAAAUUUCAAAUAACUAAAAUGUGAGUUUAAGUAGUAGUGCUUCUCAUUUUUUUUUACAUUACAUUAGACUUUUGACAGGAUUGAAUUAUUUGACUAUAAUAGGUAAUGCUGAUGGCUAGUCCUAGUAUGGAAGAUUUGUAUCAUAAGUCUUGUGCUCUUGCUGAAGACCCACAAGAACUUCGAGAUGGAUUUCAACAUCCUGCUAGACUUGUUAAGGUAAAAUAAACUAUUUGUUUUAUCUUUAGGUGUAUAUUCAUUUACCUUAGUGCUUACUGUGUAUAUGUGAAAUUUAAAAACAGCAUAUUUUUAAUCUUGUUACUAAAUGAUUUUAGUAUUAUUAAGGUACUCACAAUUUAAUAAUACAGAUGUCUUUCUCACUGCAGAUUGUGGCUAUACUUUAUUUGUGUAUAACGACUUCAACUGUCAUUGAUUUGUUGUAUUUGUAGCAUAUUAAAAUCUUAGUGAUAAUGGGAUUUAGAAUGUCUUUGGAUGCGUUAAAGUUUGCAUUAUAGCUUGUUUCUUUAAAAGAAUGGUAACUGAAGAAAUAUUAUAGAAGGAUGAGUUAUGAUGUGUAAAUCCUAUUCCAUUGCUGAAAUGCAGUGUGGAACACGAUGAACUGAACUCUUCCUUGACUGACAGAUAUCUGAGGUAGUAAAAAUGAUAUUGGAAAGGUUUGUACCUUUCCUUUUCAAGUAUUUAUUUGUAAUUUCACAAGUUAUAUAAUGUAUGUAAGUGAUUCUUUGUUUUGAAUUAGUUUUUAGUGGGCAUGAAAGGCAAGGAUGAAGCCAUGGCCAUUGGUGGGCACUGGUCUCCUUCGUUGGAUGGACCAGACCCUGAAAAAGAUCCCUCCGUGUUGAUUAAGACUGCUAUUCGUUGUUGUAAGGCUCUGACAGGCAUUGAUCUAAGUGUUUGCACACAAUGGUAAGUAUCAAUUCAUUUCUUGAUUAGAAAUAUUUAAUAGAUUUGUAGAUGUUCUUAUCGAUCAGCCUUUUCCCCUUAUUUUAGCAACACUUGUCAUGCAGGUAAUCUCAAAGGAAAAAUCCCCAUUUGUAGCAAAAGUUUAUUUGGUGCCAAAAAUGUUUUUUGGAAAAAGGAUUAAGAACUAAUCAAAAUAUACUGAAAAUUUAAAUGUUUUGUUAUGCUGUACUUUGGAAGUUUGGUUGUAUGUUGAAAAUACUUUUCAUUUCAUGUAUAGCUGGAGAAGAUCGUCAAGAGAGAACUUCAUUUCAUUAUAAUUCUUUUGUUAUUAAAUGAUGUAGUUGCUGAUUAUUUUUGUUCAGCCAUAUUUUCUCUUGAGGCUUAUUUGUCCUAUGUAUUUUAGUAUAUUUCUUGUGACUUAAUUGAGAAUAUUCUUUUUUAGCACAUGAAAUCUGAACAGCUAUCCAGCUUCUUCAGGUAUUAUCUAAAAUAUGGGUAGCUUUGUAAUCAAACUUGAAAAUGUGUUGUGGGAACUUAUUCUUUUAUUCAAUAAAAUAUUGUACAAAUGUACCAAAAGAGGAACUAUGGCUUCUAUAAUUUUUUUUUCUUUAGACCAACCUCAAGUUCUUGCAGCAAAAUUUCUUUACUUGAUGUGCUACAAGUGAACUAGGGUCUUUAAAAUGUAUUUUAGAAUUUUUUUUCCAACAUGCUUCUUCCCUUGCAACAGGUACCGUUUUGCAGAGAUUCGCUACCAUCGCCCUGAGGAGACCCACAAGGGGCGUACAGUUCCAGCUCAUGUGGAGACAGUGGUUUUAUUUUUCCCGGAUGUUUGGCAUUGCCUUCCCACCCGCUCAGAGUGGGAAACCCUCUCCCGAGGAUACAAGCAGCAGCUGGUCGAGAAGCUUCAGGGUGAACGCAAGGAGGCUGAUGGAGAACAGGCACUGAACGCUAAUCCCUUUUUCUAUUUCCGCUUCUCACAGGCACAGGAACACAGGCACAAAUGCACACCACACACUACAUAACAAACACACAUGGAGGAACAUAAGUGGUAACAGCGACUGGUAAUCCAGCUUUCAGCAGUAUAGUUGAAUGUUCUUUUCUCUUAAAAAUUCUGUCUAUUAUGCUAACGUUGAGAGUGUUGAGACCUCAAAGGAAAAUAAGUUGUGCUUAAAUUGCACAGAAUUUUGUUUCUAUCAUAGAUCUAGUUGCUGGAAUCUGGGACCAGUUGUUGAGCAAGAUUAAGUAUUAAGCCAUUUUAAACAUUUUGCCAUUUUCUAAAAUUUAAAAGAUUUUCUCUUUCAUGGUCAUCAGUUCUAGUCAUGGAUAUUUGAAAUUGGACAACCACAAGUCUGAGAGAUUUGAAAUUUCAGGCUAUGUGGCAACGUCUUUGGUACAUUUCAAAGGUCUGACUAAAUCAGUCUUUGGGUGGCUUGAAAAUUGGGGCAAGAUCACACACUGUGUGGUUAGUGGAGACCGGCAGUGUUUGUGCAUCCCUGAUAUCCUUUGUGUUGUAAUUUAUCACCCUUUUGUGUUUCACAGAUCUGGCUUUGAUUGGCUGAUGAGUGUCUUUGUGAUCAGUUAAAAAUGAUAGAAUGUAUGUACGUGGACUUGCCUAAAUAAUAACUUUAGGAGAAGACAAUCUGAAACAUUUGUGACCUUGCACAGAUCAGCAACAGACUUUUAAAAGUGAAUUAAAUUUAUUUUAAGGUUUCAAAAUAGUAAUUAUGUUCUUAACUUUGUAUAUUAGGAUGAAGAAGAAAAGGAUGAUGGUGAAGCUAAAGAAAUUUCCACUCCUACCCAUUGGUCUAAACUUGAUCCAAAGACAAUGAAGGUAACUUUGAAAAUUAUGGUUUUUAAUUUGAAAUCUCUUUAACAGGAAUACAUAACAUUGGUGAGAAUGAUGGUAGUAUGUUUUUCAAAUAAAAACCAUUCAAAAUGAAGUCUGUCUUGGCACCAUUUGGAAUCCCAGGUUCUUUGGAGGCUGAGGCAAAUUUGAGGCCAGCCCAGGUAAUUUAGCAAGACCCUUCCUCAAAUAAAUAACAAGGGCUGGAGAUUUAGCUCAGUGGGGUAAAGUCCACUUUUUUUUUUUUGGAGUUUGUCCCAGGCCCUUGUGUGCUAUACAACCACUGUACCUCUGAGCUACAUCCCCAGCCCUUUUUAUUUUAUUCUGAGACAGGAUCAUGCUACAUUGUCCAGCCUGGCCUCGAACUUGUGAUCCUCCUGCCUCACCCUGCGCCAUCAGGUCUGGCUGUUCACUGAUUUUAUAUAACUAUAAUAUAUUGCAUUUACCUGUGAAUAUAUACAUACAUGUAUAAAUUAAAAAGUGAUGUUAAAUAUCAGUCUAGCUAGUACCUGUAAAAUGCUUGCAAUUUCAAAGUACCUGUAAUAUCAGGAAUAUUGUUUUCUGGUUCAGUAAUUGACCAAGAAGGCAGAAUUUAUCACUGGGCACAGUGGCACAUGGCCUGUGUAAUCCCUGUGGCUUGGUAGGCUGAGGUAGGAGGAGCACAAAUUCAAAGCCAGCCUAAGCAACUUAGUGAGACCCUGUCUCAAAAUAAAAUAUAAAAAGGGUUAGAGAUGUGGUUCAGUGGUUAAGUACCUCUGGAUUCAAACCCUGGUACCAAAAAAAAAAAAAAAAAGGAGGUGGGAGGCGCCAGAAUUCUUACACUUAUGGGGCUGGAGUUGUGACUCAGUGGUAAAGCACUUGCCUUGCAUGUGUGAAGCACUGGGUUCAAUGUUUAACACCACAUAAAAAGAAAUAAACAAAAUAAAGGUAUUGUAUCCAUCUACAACUAAAAAAUAAAAAUUUAAAAAAGAAUAUUAAAAGAAAUAAUUUCUAAACUUACGUAACUUAAAUUCAGGGGUCAGAAAAGAAACAGGAAAAAGAUGAACUUGUUUUAAAAAUAAAUUUAAGAGUAAAAUGUAGAAUGUAUGCCUCUAAACUGGGAAGGAAAUAAUUUAAUAAUUUCUUUGAAAAUAAGUGGUUAACCUGCGUUAGUUUUUUCUUCUGGGUGUCUCUAGCCCAGUUAUCUUAGUAUUCUUUCUGCUGUUUUGUAUUUCCGAACUAUAGUCUAUGGUCAAGAUAGAGACUGAUCUUUACUUCGCCUUUUACAGUUUGUUUUUAGCAAAUGCCUUCUAGUUGACUUUUGCUCUUAGCACAAAACAAUUUUUCUACUUAGUUAGGAACAAUUUCUUUCUGGAUUUUUGUUGUUUUGUGUUUGUGGGGUUUUGGGGGGUUGGGGGGAGACUGAUUUUUUUUUUUUUUCUUUUAGUACAUAGGAUUGAACCCUGGACUACUCUAUCACCACAUUAUAUCCCCAGCACUAAUUUCAUUUUAUUUUGUUGUUUGGGUUUUUAAGAGUUAUAACACAUCUCACUUAGUGUUGAAUUUGGCCUUGACUUGUGAACCUGUUAUCUCAGCCUCCUAAGUCCUAAGUAGCUGAGGUUACAGGACCUAGCAAGGCUUGAACCUUGACUUUAAACUCAUUGGUUUUUAGUAUGUAGACAUUGUAUGUCAUAAGAAUGUUAUUUGUUGAGAGCCACAGUUUAGUCAGAAUGAUGCCUGGCAUUUUUGCCAGAGGGAAUGGUUGAAAGAUGACCCUGCCCCGGAUUAGGGCAGAUCCUGCUGGGAAUAGGGCAGCUCCAGGAUUAGGGCAGAUCCUCCUGGGAUUAGGGCGGAUCCUGGUGCCUUGGGCACUACUUUGGAGUUCCCAUUGAGUUCUCUUGGGGUUCUCAGAGAAUUGGCGCGCAGAGCAGUGUGUUCCCGGGAAGUGUGUGUAGAGUGCAGGUGAGAGUUCGGGAAUAAAGGUUGCUGUUUGAACCUACAAGGCUGUGUGCCCAGCCAGACUGCGGCAGUUAUUCUUUAAUUGCUUCCAAGUUGUCAUCGUCAAUAUCAGGUUCAUAUAGGGUACUCAAAAGAUUAUGAAAACAUUGACAAUAAGACUAAGACUAUACCCAACACUUUUUAAUUUAAACUUGAUUGUUUUGAUGUUAAGUUCUAUAUUUUAUUUUUAUUUAUUUAUUUUUUUGGUACUGAGAAUUGAACCCAGGGCCACUUUACCACUGAACUACAUUCCAUAGUCCUUUUUAAUUUUUUAUUUUCAAAUAGUCUUGAUAAGUUGUAUAGGGUCUUGCUAAGUUGCCUAGGGGUGCCUUGCCUCGACCUUGGGUUCCUCUUACCUCAUUCUCCCAUGGAGCUAGCAUUAUAGGUGUGUGCCACCACAUCCAGAUUCUGUUUUCUUUUUUGUAGGAUAUAAGUAAUGUAUUUAGUUGGUUGGUUGGCUCAAAUCAAGUUGUAUUUAAAAGUUGCAUUUUAAUCAUUUUCAUUUAACAUCUUUUUUUCUCAUGUAAUUGUUUUUCAAUUUUACAUUAUAUGUGGUUUAUGUAUUAAUACUUCUUAGAUAUUGCUUUUUAUUGAAUGUGCAGAUUCUUUACUUUUUUGAAGUGAAGGACUGUUGUAAGUAAAUCUAACAAGGUAUGCUGGUGCAACUCUGUAAUCCCAGUGACUUGGGAAACUCUGCAGCAGAAGGAUUACAAAUUCUAGUCCAGCCUCUGAAACUAAGUGAGACCCUAUCUCAAAAUAAUGUGAAAAAAGGGCUUACCUAAUACCCAAAAAGGUCCUGUGUUCAAUUCCUAGUAUUUCCAAAAAAAGGUUAAUAAUUAGUAAAUCUGUUUUUCUCCCUGAGUUCAGGAUAUUUCAUACACACACACACACACACACACACACAUAAUUUUAAUAGUUUUAUUUACUUUUGGGGGCGAGUACUAGGGAUUGAACCCAGGCACUCUAGUAACUGAGCUAUAUUCCCAGCCCCUCAUUUAUUUAUCUUUAUGUCAGCUGAGGAUCAAACCCAGUGCCUCACACAUGCUAGGCAGGCCCUGUACCACUGAGCCAUGAUCCCAGCCCCCCAGGAUAUUUCUUUAGGUAAAUUCCCAGAAAUUAGAAUUACUGGGUCAAGGGUUAGGGGGAUACAUCAGUGGCAGACCACCUGCCUAGCAUGUGCAAGGUUUUGGGUUCAACCUCUAGUACCAUUAAAAAAAAAAGAAAAGAAGAAAAAAGGAACAGUAAAAGGACUUUGAAUCAUCUUAAAAUGUUUUGAAUUAUUUUCCAAAAUAUUCUAUACAUAUCACCUGUGUGGUUUUUUUUUUUUUUUGGAUACCCAGAAUUGCACUCAGGAGUACCUAGCCACUGAGCCAUAUCCCCAGUCUUUUUUUUACCGUUUUAUUUAUUUUUUAUUUUUUGGUACUGGGUAUUGAACUCAGGGGGCACUUAACCACUGAUCCACAUGUCCAGCCCUAUUUUGUAUUUUAGUUAGAGAAAGGGUUGCACUGAGUUUGCCUAGCGCCUCAGUUUUUCAGAGACUGGCUUUGAACUCACGAUCCUCCUGCCUCAGGCUCUGGAAUUAAAGGUGUGCACCAUGUUGCCAGGCACCUUUUUAUUUAUUUUGAGACUAAGUUGCUCAGGGCCUUGCUAAAUUGCUAAGUUGGUCAGGGCCUUGCUAAAUUGUUUACUAAGGCUGUCCUUGAACUUGAGAUCCUCUUGCCUCAGCCUCCCAAGAGGAUUAUAGGCAUGCACCAGCACGUCUGUCUUUUUUCAUAAAAUUUUUUUUUUUUAAAUCAGGUAAAAGUAUAUAGUUUGUUUACAUCUCAUUUUCUUUUUCUAUGUUUUUAUGUUGCAUACAUUUAGGUAAAUGAUCUCCGAAAAGAAUUAGAAAGUCGAGCCCUUAGUUCCAAAGGAUUAAAAUCCCAGUUAAUAGCUCGAUUGACAAAACAACUUAAAGUAGAAGAACAAAAAGAAGAACAGAAGGAAUUAGAGAAAUCUGAAAAAGAAGAGGAAGAAGAGGAUGAUAGGAAAUCUGAAGAUGAUAAGGAGGUAUUUAUUCAGCAUUUGAAUAUAGUUGUAUUGGUAUUUCUCUUAGUAUGUUGGGUGUUCGUGGAAUAUAUGACUUCACUUUGUGUGUGUGUGUGUGUAUUGUUUUAUUAAGGUAUGUAAGGUAAAAGUAGAAUUUUUUCCCACAGUUGCUUUACCACUGAGCUAAAUCCCACAAUUCUUUUUAUUUUUAUUUUAUUUUAUUUUUUUAAGUUUCAUUUAAAAUUUUUUUUUUUUUAAGUUAUCUAUGGACUUAAUGCCUUUAUUUGUUUUUAUGUGGUGCUAGGAUCAAACCCAGCGCCUCACACUUGGGAAGCAAUGCUCUACCACUAAGCUUACAACUCCAGCCCCCCUUUUUAUUUUUUGAGACCGGGUUUUUUCACUAAUGAGCUGAAGGUGUCCCUAAGUUGUUGAGGCUGACCUCGAACUUGUACUCCUGCCUCAGGCUUCUAUGUAGCUGGGAUUACAGGCAUGUGCCACUGCACCUAUCUAAAAAUUCAUACCUGUAAUGAAUAGUUCUGCAAUUUUUUAAAAUUAUUCUAAUUAGUUAUACAUGACAGUAGAAUGCAUUUUUUUAAAAAAUAUUUUUUAGUUAUAGUUGGGCAUAGUACCUUUAAUUUUUAUUUGUUUAUUUUUAUGUGAUGCUGAGGAUCGAACCUAGCUCCUCGCAUGUGCUAGGCGAUCGCUCUACCGCUGAGCCACAACCACAGCCCCUAGAAUGCAUUUUGACAUAUGAUACAUAUAUGGAGUAUAACUUCUCAUUCUUGUUGUACAUGGUAUAGAAUCAUACCAAUCAUUUAAUCAUAUGUACAUUCGGUAAUAAUGUCCGAUUCAUUGAACUAUCCUUCCUACUUCUAUACCCUGUCUCCUCUCUUCACUCCCCUCUGCCUAUCCAAAGCUGUUCUUCCCUAACCCCCUGCCCUCAUUGUGAAUUAGUAUCCACUUAUCAGGAAAAAACAAAAACAAAAACAAAAACAUUCAGCUUGAGUUCCAAUGAAAUGCUCAUGCCCUAAUUGUGAUGCUUCUAAAGUAAUAUGUUUGAUUGGAUUCUACUCAAGAAUAGACAAAUUAUUCAAGCUAUUUUGUACCUCAGUUUUAUAUCUAAUACAUUUAUUCCUUAGUGCAUAAGCUUAUUGUGUUCUCUGAAUUUGAGAGCUAGUGUGUUUUAGCCCCAGUAAUUGGAUAAACCCUUAGGGUUUUUAAAUGUGAUGUAUUAUAAAAUACCCAUCCACAAUUCCUAAAGUAGUUCUUCGAGAAGUAUGUGACAUAGAUCAAAUUGUAAGGAAAACAAUUGGGUAAAUCUGAAAAGUGAAAAAAAUUUUAUAAAGCAAGUUGUGUGAACUUUUCAGAAUGUAUCCACAUUAAAGAAAGAAACUUAGGAGCUGUCUUAGAUUGAAGAAGGUUAGUGAAUGUGACUGGAUCUGGGCUAGGGAAAAAAUGUCAUUAAGAAUGGUAUAUGGGCUGGGGAUGUGGCUCAAUCGGUAGUAGCGCUCUCGCCUGGCAUGCGUGCAGCCCAGGUUCGAUCCUCAGCACCAUAUACAAACAAAGAUGUUGUGUCUGCCGAAAACUAAAAAAUAAAUAUUAAAAUUCUCUCUCUCUCUCUCAAAAAAAAAAAAAAGACUGGUAUAAUUGGAGCCAGGUGUGAUGGCACAUACCUGUAAUCCCAAUGGCUCAGGAGGCUAAGGCAGGAAUCAGAGUUCAAAGCCAGCCUCAGCAAAAAGUGAGGCGCUAAGCAGCUCAGUGAGAUCCCGUCUCUAAAUAAAAUACAAAAUAGGGCUGGAGAUGUGGCUCAGUGGUUGAGUGUCCCUGAGUUCAAUUCCCAGUACUGGGGGGAAAAAAAAGAACAGUAUAAUUGGAGAAAUUUGAUUGUAUAUGUAGUUGUUACAUUAGAUAUUAUUGAAGUUUUAUUAAAUUUUGUGGAUGUGAUAAUGGUUUUGUGAUUAUGUAGGAGAAUUACCUUUUUUUAGACAAUACAUGAACUUGUGAUUUCUUAUCAAUUGGCAGGUAAAGUACUUAUUUUGGUGAUAACAUUUUUUCAGAAUUGACCAGUGGGAACCCUUUUAAGUUAUAUGUCCUUUUGAUAUAUCCUCAUCAUUUUUUGAAGGAUUUCUUACUUUUUGGCCUGAUAGGAUGUUUCAGUCUUAUUGUGUACAUUUCUCACUUUUGGUCUUCAGUCUCUUAUGGUCAGGAACCCAAAGAACCUGGUGUGGUGGUACACACCUGUAAUCCUAUUUACUAGGGAGGCUAAGGCAGGAGAAUUAUAAAUUCAAGGUCAGCCUGUAUAACUUAGUGAGACUGUUUCAAAAUGAAAAAAAUAAUGGGCUAGGAAUAUUGGGUAGUAGAAUGCCCCUGGGUUCAAUCCCCAGUACAGCAAAAAAAAAAAAAAAAAAAAAAAGAUAUCCAAAAGAAAGAAUUCGGACCCACAAAAGCUACUACCCUUAGUAAAUUUGAACUGUUCUCUUUUUUUCAAUCCUUAUAGUUGUUUUGGUCACUCUAAAGAAUUUUAGGUAUUUUGCCGUUUUUCUUUAUAUGGUAUACAUUUUUUGAAUACAUACAUAUUGUACAUGAAGGUUUAAACCAUGAACUAAAAUUUCAAAAUCCAGGAGGAAGAAAGAAAACGUCAAGAGGAAAUGGAACGCCAGCGUCGGGAAAGAAGAUACAUUUUGCCUGAUGAACCAGCCAUCAUUGUGCAUCCAAAUUGGGCUGCAAAAAGUGGCAAGUUUGAUUGUAGCAUCAUGUCUUUGAGUGUCCUUUUGGACUACAGAUUAGAAGAUAAUAAAGAACAUUCAUUUGAGGUAAUGUUUUAUCUUUGAAUCAGGAUCCAGAUAAGGUCCACAUAUUGUGUGUCUCUUAAAUCUCUUUUUCUCCCAGUUGCUAAUUAGGAAAAUCAAUAGUUUAUUCUAUAAAGUUUCAUAUAAAUUACUUUUGUUGAUUUUUUUAAUCCUAUGGUAUAGUAAUACCACUGAAAUAUGCUUGUGUCCUCUGUAUUUUCUAUAAAUUGAUAGUUAGAUCUAAAUUCUUAAUCAAGUUGUGGGCUUUUUUUUUUUUCUUUUAAAAAAGAAAUUUGAACUUUUUGAAGAAUCUGUUGAAAUCCUGAAUAGCUUUAGAACUAUUUAGAUAAGCCCAUGCAUGGUGGUACAUACCUGUAAUCCCAGUAACUCAAGAGGAUUGUAAAUUCAAUGCCAACUUGGGUAAUUUAGCCCUGUCUCAGAAAGAUUAAAAAGGAGAGGACAUGUUGCUCAGUUGCAGAACAGCCCUGGGGUUUGGUCUCCAGUGCUAUAAAUAUUAAAUAAAUAAGUAUAUUUUAGUGUAUAAGUUGAUGAAUAUGUGGUAGCUCUUACCAUGGCUCUCUGCAUAAUAAUAAUAAUGGAUAUUCCAUACUCAGGGUUUUUAAUUGUUUUAAAUGCCUGAAAUGUUCUUCUAGAUAUCUUCAUAAUUCAUUUAUUCAUUGCCUUCUAGUCACUUUUUUGUCGGGUGGAGGGUACUGAAGGUUGAACCCAGGGGUGCUUAACCCACUGAGACACUUCCCCAACCCCUUUUGAAUUUUAUUAGAGACGGGAUCUUGCUGAGUUGCUGAGGCUGGCAUUGAAUUUGCAAUCCUCCUACCACAGCCUCCUAAACUAAUGGGAUUACAGGCCUGUGCCACCAUGCCCAGCUCUCUGGUCACUUUUUAAAUGUCAGAAAGAGACCUUGUCUAACUACUCUUUCUCACUUUCUUUUUAUAAAAUACAUGCUAGGCAAGUGCUUUACCACUGAGUUGCAUCCCAGUCCCUUUAUAUGCUUGUUUUUCUUGUAAUUUGAUAUUAAUUGGGUUAUUUCUUAUACUAGGUUUGUUACCUUUGUGCUGAAAUAAAAUUUUUUUUUUUCUUUUCACUGCUGUAUUCCCAGCCCAUGGUACAUAGUAGGCAUUUGAUUAAAAACUUAUUGACUGGGUCUGUAGUCAUAGCUUAGUAGCAGAGAGCUUACCUAGCAUGUGUGAGGCACUGGGUUUAAUCCUCAGCACUACAUAAAAAUAAAUAAAUUAGCUAAAGGUAUUGUGUCCAUCUACAACUAAAAAAUAUUAAAAAAAAAAAAGUAUUGACCAACCAAUGGAAAUAUAAACAAACCCUUAUAGAAUAAAUAAAGUAUUGUGAAGAUUAAUAGUUUCGUUAGGAGUAUAGAAUUCUUUUUUUCUUUUCAGAUUUUCUAUAGUAGAUUACUUAUUAUAGUAUUUGACUAAAACUGUACUAACCUAAUAUUUUAUAUCUUUGAAACAUUGUUUCAGCAUUUUGAGUCUUUGACAUCAAUUAUUAUAACUAUAUUCUAAAUGUACUUAAUAGAUUCAGCAAAUAUUUAUUAAAAUUACUAACUGCUAGAUUUAAUAUUUCUGUUGCAUUUGUGUUAAUUUUCAUAUCUUUUUAUAGGUUUCAUUGUUUGCAGAACUUUUCAAUGAAAUGCUUCAGAGAGAUUUUGGUGUCAGAAUAUACAAAUCAUUACUCUCUCUUCCUGAGAAAGAGGACAAAAAAGAAAAGGAUAAGAAAAGCAAAAAAGAUGAGAGAAAAGAUAAAAAAGAAGAAAGAGAUGACGAAAAUGAUGAGCCAAAACCCAAACGGAGAAAAUCAGGAGAUGAUAAAGAUAAAAAAGAAGAUAGAGAUGAAAGGAAGGUCUGUAAUUAUUUCCAUAAUUUCUUCUUUUAGAUUGUAACAAAUGAUGUUAUUUCCAUCAGAAUAUUAAAAUAUGAAGCCAAACUUAUACUUUAGAAAAUUUGUCUUUUAAUUAAGCCAAUUCCCCAAACUGCUGAGGGCCUUAAUAAGUUGCUAAAUUGGUCUCCAAUUUGAGAUUCUCCUUCCUCAGCCUCCUGAGUUGCUGGGACUAUAGGCAUGAGCCACCACUCCCAGCUAUUGUUACUCUUAAAUGUAUUACUUUAUGGAUGCUGUGGUUAUGGCUCAGUAGUAGAAUGCUUGCCUGGCAUGUGUGAGGCACCACAUAAAAAUAAUUAAUUAAAUAGAGAUAUGAUGUCCAUUAUACAACUAAAAUAAAAAAGCAUUCCUUUUUUAAGAAAUUUGUAGUUUGAAACUAUUUUAAGUAAAUACCUUUUUUUGGUGAUGCUGGGAUUAAAACCCAGCGCGUUGCACACAUGCUAGGCAAAUGCCCUACCUCAGCUACAUCCCCAGUCCUUUAAAUAAAUAAAUGUAAUGGACUUAAUGUUUUCUUAUUAAAUUUUAAAUUACAGAAAGAAGAUAAAAGGAAAGAUGAUUCUAAAGAUGAUGAUGAAACUGAAGAAGAUAAUAAUCAUGAUGAAUAUGACCCAAUGGAAGCAGAAGAAGCUGAGGAUGAAGAAGAUGGUAUGAUUCAAAUUUUCUUAUUACUGAUUAUGUUUGAAAAAACAUUUGUUUGCUGACUUUGUAUCAGUGAAAUCUAUGAUUUUAAUAUUUUUUAUUAGAAAGUUAAAAUAUUCUCUAAUGAAAAUAUAUUAAGUAAUUGUUGUUUACUAAUUUUUAGGUGAGAAGGCUAUAUUUUGGUGCUUUUGGUUUUUUAUUUUUUAUACUACUGGUAAUUGAACCCAAGGUCUACAAAAGCUCCACAAGUGCUCUAACCAUUGAACUGACAGGGUCUUGCUAAUUUUCACAGACUGGACUUGAACUUGAAAUCCUCCUGCCUCAGCCUCCCAAGUAGCUGGGAUUACAGGUGUACACAUAUGCCCAGCCAGAAUAUAUUCUUCGAAAAAUAAUUUGGUUUAUUUUUAUUUUUUAAGUGAAUACUAUCAUCAUGCAAUGAGUAUAUAUUUAUGGUUUAAAUACUAUUAAUAAUAAUUACCCAUGGUACCUAUUAACCUAUGUCUUAAAAACCAUGUAGGGGCGGGCUAAGGUUGUGGUAGAGCACCUGCAAGAAAGGGUCUUGCGGAGUUGCUUAGGGUCUUUCUAAGUCGCUGAGGCUGGGUUUUCAAUACACCUGCCUCAGCUUUUCAAGUUGCCGGGAUUACAGGCAUGUGCCACCAUGUCUGGCUGACACUCUAAAUACUUUCUAGUUGGGCUGGGGGUGUGGCUCAAGCGGUAGCGCGCUCGCCUGGCAUGCGUGCGGCCCGGGUUCGAUCCUCAGCACCACAUACAAACAAAGAUGUUGUGUCCGCCGAGAAUUAAAAUAAAUAAAUAAAUAUUUUAAAUAAAUAAAUAAAUAAAUACUUUCUAGUAAACAUUCUGAUCAGUAAUAGAUGUUGGCCAUAAAGUAUCUCUGUGUAAUGCCUUACCCAUAUCUCUUUAUGUUGAUGUGACUUGAGAAUUUUGUCUUUUUCUCAUAUCAGAAAACUAAAAACUUUUUUUUUUUAUUAACUGUAUCUAUGGAUGAUACUUCUUAUUAUUAAAGGUUAUUUUGGUUUGCAGCUUUUGGGUUUUUUGGUAGUGGGGAUUUAACCCAGGGGCGCUUUACCACUGGGCUACAUCCUCAGUCCUUUAUUAUAUAUAUGUAUUUUUUAUUAUGAGACAAAGUCUCAAAGUUCCUGAGGACCUUACUGAGUUGCCAGGGCUCACUGUGAACUUGAUAUCCUCCUAUCUCCACCUCCCCAGUUGCUGGGAUUGUGGGCAUGUGCCACCCUGACUGGAUCAUCACAUUUUCUUCUCAUGUCAUUUCAUUUUUCUUAUUGAUGAAAAUAUUCACAUAAAAUGUUGAGGGGGCUGGGAAUAUAGUUCAGUUGGUAGAGUGCUUGCCUCACAUGCACAAGGCUCUGGGUUCAAUCCCCAGCACCAAAAAAAUAAAUAAAAUGUUGAGAGAAUUGUACAGUGAACACCCAUAUGUCUUCCAAUUAGGAUUUAAUAUUCAUUAAUAUUUGACUUAUUUGUUUUGUCUUUUUUCUGAUCCAUUUGAAAGUAUGAAUUCUUCAACUUACUUGGGAGGCUGUGGAAGGAGGAUCACAAGUUUGAGGCUAGCAUUAGCAAGUUAGUCCCUAAAACUUAAUGAAACCUUUUCGCAAAAUAAAAAACAUAAAGGAGAUGUAGCUCCAUUGUAAUGUGCUCCUGGGUUCAGUUCCCAGUACCAAGAAAAAAAAAAGCUUAGGAAAGAAAGGACAUACUUAAUCCCACAAUCAUACCUUUAUUAUGCAAUAAUGCCUUAAUAACACUUAAUACCUGUUUUUUCUUUGCCCUAAUAAUAGCAAUGAGAUGAUACACAUACACCAAUUUUGCUUCAUAUCUCUUCUGUUGUUACAUGGCGCAGUGCAAACUUAGCCCUAUUACAGCCAUAUUUCCUCCCCAUAUUGUUUUUUUUUUUUUUUUUAAAGAGAGAGAGAGAGGGAGAGAGAGAGAAUUUUUUUAGUAUUUAUUCUUUAGAUUUCGGCGGACACAACAUCUUUGUUUGUAUGUGAUGCUGAGGAUCGAACCUGGGCCGCACGCAUGCCAAGCGAGCGCGCUACCGCUUGAGCCACAUCCCCAGCCCCCAUAUUGUUUUUUGUUGUUGUUGUUUGUUUGUUUAUUUUGGGGGGGCAGGGGUUACUAGGGAUUGAACUCAAGGGCACUGGACCACUAAGCCACAUCCCCAGCCCUAUUUUAUAUUUUAUUUAGAGACAGGGUUGCUAAACACGUUGCUUUUGCUGAGACUGGUUUUGAACUAACCAUCUUCCUGUCUCAGCCUCCCAAGCACUGGGAUGUAGGUGUGUGCUACCUCACUCAGCUCCAAGUCCAGUGUUUUUUUUGUUGUUGUUUUGUUUUUUUAAGGUACUGGGGAUUGAACUCGGGGCCACUCAACCACUGAGCCACAUCCCCAGCCUUAUUUUCUAUUUUAUUUAGAAACAGGGUCUCAGUGAGUUGCUUAUUGCUUCACAGUUGCUGAGGCUGGCUUUGAACUUGCGAUUCUCCUAUCUCAGCCUCCCAUGCCACUGGGAUUACAGGUGUGUGCCAUUACGUCUGGCUACAAGUCCAAUUUUUAUCAUACCAAUUUUUAUAAAAUACAUAUUAGUUUCAGAAAAAUUAGAUUUAAUUAAGAGUUAGUCAUAUUUUUUUCUUUUUUUUUUUAAUUGUUAAAUUUUUCCCCCUUACAAUAGCCUCUAAAUUUGUAGGUCCACCCCAUACUGGUCCUAAAAGAUCUCUUGGAUUCUGUAAUGCCUCCUCUAAACACAGCUGUCUGCCUGAGCAGAUUUUUUUUUUUCAAAGCUCUGUUGUCCUCUGGUGGAUGAUUGACGAAUUGCAUUGUCCACUCUUCCACUUUUGGAGAUUUAGUUUCAUCUGAAGCCUGCAAUACCCUUUCACCGUUCCUAUGUUUAAAACUUUUUGUAAAUCCAAUUUGAGGGUCCCACUUAACGCUUUGAGAGUCUAUCUACUGCUGAAGAUUUUGUCCAGUUCAUGAUUUCAAACUGACUCCACCCCAUCUCCUUGUGGACAAAUUUGAUCUCGUUCUCUGGAGUCAUUAACUUGAAAUUGAAUGCUGUAGUAAAUUCUGCUGCAACCAAUGUCCAGCCUUCAACAGUGCAACACUUAUUAAAGGAAGUCUCAUAAUUCUCGUUGUUUUGUGUAAACAUAGAUAACGCCACUCCAUCCUCUGGAGUUCCUAGUGCUUUUACAGCACUCAGAUUGGAUCCUGAAGAGAAGGUAUUUUUUGGGGAUGUGGCUCAAGGGGUAGCGUGCUCGCCUGGCAUGUGUGCGGCCCAGGUUCGAUCCUCAGCACCACAUACAAACAGAGAAGGUAUUUUUUGUCCCACAGAUAAUGAGGCUUUUCCCUUCCAUCCAGUUUUCCAACUCACUUGCAAAUAUUGUAGCAUCAUAAAUCUCAAAAGGCAUUAAUUUCAGUGGUAUUGUUCAGAGUAACAAUGCCAAGUCCAUUUUCUUCCUUUUGCAGAUCCAACAUAUCUACCAGGAAACCACUAAAGCAUCACUUCUUCAUGAAAGCCAUGAGAUGUAAUAAAGUGAUACUGCCCCUCAGUGUAGUAGUUUUGUCCUUACAGAGAUGAUGGCUUCAAAAGACUUAUUAUUUUUAAGUUGGAACAAGGCUUUAAAGGUUUUCAGAAAUCAAAUAAGUGCUUUGAAGUUAGGCCUUUUUAUACUUUAAAAAAAUGUUAAAUGUGGUAUUUCUCCACCUUCCCUGAAAAGUUUUUCAGCACCCUCCUGUACCUCUGUAUAAACCACUCCUUUCCCAUUCCCAGGAGGGUACAUUGGGCUUCAGCUGCCAUCUAGCUGGGAAGCCUGGAGGCUCUCUGUGUGAGGGUCACUGGGAAAGGUGCUAACAUCCAUUCCACAACCACCUUCUGGGAUUCUCUUCCUUAUGACGCUUUUAAAAGUUAUGACCAGCUCUUAAAUAGAGCCCUGGAGGUCUCUGGGGUGACUUCCCUUUCUGCUUUCCUCGAUCAUCUUAAUUAAAAACAUCUCAGUUUCUCAUGUAGUUUUUCCUUUUGGGUUCUAGAAAAUAUACUUCACCUUGUUUGCUCAAGUUUGUGUUAUGUUUUUCAAUUUUAUCUAUAGAGUUAAUUUUAUCUUUUGAAAUAUAUCCUUCAGAUAUUUGUAAAAUUAAGGCCAUUUAAUUGAUUUAAUAAAGUCAGUUUGGUGCUGAUAGUGACAAGAAUGCUUGCCUGUCAUAUGCAAGGCCCUCAGCAUUGCAAAAAGAAAUAAUGAAAUCAAUUUGUCCCUCUAGUUUUUCUCCCAUCCCCAGUAGUGGGGAUUGAAUUCAGGGGUCUCUACAAGUAAACUACAUCCUCAGCCCUUUUUCUUGUUUGGAGAAAGGGUCUCACUAAAUCAUCUAUGCUACCCUCAACUUUAUAAUCCUCUUGUCUCAGUUUUCCAAGUGAGAUUACAUUCAUGUACCAUUGUGCCUGAUCACCCGAUAUAUUCUUCCUCUUAUUUUUUGUAAUUUUUUUUUCACAUCUACACUAUUUUUAUUUAUAUAUUUAUUUGAUUAAUUUGAAAAUUUGUUCUGUAGUGGAGGAAUAGUAUUUUUUUUGUUUGUUUGUUUGUUUUCUGUGGUGCUGGGGAUUGAACCCAGGGCCUUGUACAUGCAAGGCAAGCACUUUACCAACUGAGCUAUAUCCCCAGCCCAUGGAGAAAUAGUUUGUUUCUACAGUAGUUAAAAAUAUCUCUGUUAAUGAGUUUUUGCUGCUCUUACAUUUAUUUUUAUAGAUCGGGAUGAGGAAGAAAUGAACAAACGGGAUGACAAAAGAGAGAUCAACAGAUACUGCAAGGAAAGGCCUUCUAAAGAUAAGGUAUUUAUUGAAUAUUGUAUUCUUUAUAAUGUGAUGAUUUGUAUAUUUUACAUAAUUAAAUUUGAUUUUAAAAUAUAUCACAGUCAUGAAGUUUAUUAGUCUUCAUAUGCCUACAUACAACCACUUAGCAAAAUGCAGUUGAUGGGUUUUUGGUAUUUGGGACUGUCAUAUAACCAUUUUGUUUGAUUUUCUUUCUCUCAUAUUCAUAUAACAAAUGAACUUAUUUUAUUAGGAUGAAAUAAUGAUCUUUUAAGAUUGUUGCUAUUAUACUGACAUAAUUUCUUGUUUUUCAAUUGGAAAAAAGUAUAUACUAUCUUUUAUUUCUGUAUUUUUUUUAGGAAAAAGAAAAAACUCAGAUGAUCACAAUUAACAGGGAUCUAUUAAUGGCCUUUGUUUAUUUUGAUCAAAGCCAUUGUGGUUACCUUCUUGAAAAGGAUUUGGAAGAGAUACUCUAUACUCUUGGAUUACAUCUUUCUCGGGCUCAGGUAAUCUAUUCUGUGAAUUUAAAAUAAAAACCGUUUUUAUUACCAUUUUUUUUUUCUCCCUGUGCUGGGGAUAGAACCCAGGACUUGCUAAUGCAAGUGCUUUAGCACUGAAACUGCCUCUCCUGUAACUUUUCAAGAAGUUACUUUUUUUUGGUACCAGGGAUUGAACCCAGGGGUGCUUAACCAGUAAGUCACACCCCCAGCCUCCAGCCCUUUUUAUUUUUAUAUUGAGAUAGGGUCUCACUAAGUUGUUUAAGGCCUCACUAAGUUGCUGAGGUUGGCACUAAAUGGCCUCAGCCUCUUCAGUGAAUGGGAUUACAGGUGUGUAUCACCACGUUUGGCUAAGAAGUUACUUUUCAAAGAAAAUAUAAAUAGAAUAAGUUAAUGUAUUCAAUUCCAUAGGUAGGUGCUCAUUUUUUUUUACAUCUCUAUUGACUUUUUCAUUUAAAAGAAACAUAAUAGAUAUAAAUUGUAAGAGUCAAGCAAUACUGAAAUUUAUAAAGUAAAAAGGUUAAAAGCCCCUCUUUGCUCUUCUACUCCUCAGGUCCAGCACAUAACCUUCUAGAUUUUUUUGUAAUCAACUGUUUCAUUUUUAUAAACAUAAUAUGAAAUUAUGUUAUACAUAUUGAUGGAACUCUUUUAAAAUUUUCUAAUAUAUCCUGGACAUUUGUACCAUGAAAAUUCAGAUCUCAUUCUCAUAGCUGCAUAGUAUUCCAUUAUAUAGAUGUAUCAUUUAUGUAACUACUCCCUUAUUGCUUAUGGUUUUCAUAUUUUGGAAUUAUAAACUUAUGCUGUAAUAGACACCCCUUGUUACAUUUAUUUUAAUAUAUAUGUUAGUGUUUCUAAUAGUGUUACAAUUUUUUUUUUAAAUACUACGUUUUUUUAAAAGAAUAUUUUUAAAAUUUUUUGUUCAAUUUAAAACAUAUUUAUAUUUAUGUAUUUGACUUUGGGAGGAAAAAUUAAGUAGGGUUCACAAAAUUUUGAAGUAAAUUUGGAGAUUUUAGCAAGUGAUAAAAUAUCUACAAAAGUGUCCUGUGUCACAGUAUAUAUCUAAUAGCUCCAUAAAACAAAAACUUACAUUUCAGGCCAGGAAUUUUUAGGUUUCACCUCUUGCCAAUGUUUUUUCCCCCUCUAACUGGUGUAGUGUUACAAUUUUUAACAAUUAAAUUUAUUUUUCAAAUAUAACUUGGAUGUGAUUGAGUAGGAAUGGAUACCUGAGAAAGCAGUUUCCACAGAUGUUCUUCAUUUCUAAAAAUUAGAACACAGUUGUUCAAGGAAAAUCAAAACACAUUUUCAUCUUUUUAAUGUGUUUACUUGCUUAUAUUAUAGGUAAAGAAGCUUCUUAAUAAAGUAGUUCUCCGUGAAUCUUGCUUUUAUCGGAAAUUAACAGACACUUCAAAAGAUGAAGAAAACCAUGAAGAGUCUGAAUCAUUGCAGGAAGAUAUGUUAGGUUUGAGUAUAUUGAAAUCUUGCGUUUUUAUAAAUAUUCAUUAGUUUAAAAAAAAAAAUCUUACUAAAGUGUAUUGUCUUUUAUUAUAGGAAAUAGGUUGUUACUGCCAACACCAACAGUAAAGCAGGAAUCAAAGGAUGUGGAAGAAAAUGUAGGACUCAUUGUGUACAAUGGUGCAAUGGUUGAUGUAGGAAGCCUUUUGCAAAAAUUGGAAAAGAGUGAAAAAGUAAGGGCUGAAGUAGAACAGAAGCUGCAGUUACUAGAAGAAAAAACAGGUGAGGGACAAUAUGAAUAUGUUAGUACUUUUAAAGCUCUGUUUGUGUGUGUGUGCACGCACACACAUACCUCACAUUUUGCUUUGGACAGUGUAUAACUCUACUUUCAUCUGUUUCUAUUGGAGACAAUAAAAUCACUUAGUUUUGUAAGAAUUUUUCUUGUUCAAUGGGGUGUAGUGGGGCAUGCCUAUAACUAGAGAGGCCACUGUAGGAGGAUCACAAAUUUGAAGGCAGCUUAACAAGACCCUGUCUCAAAAGUAAAAAGGGCUGGGGAGGUAUCUUGGUGGAUAUUAGUUGUUCAUUCUCAGGUUCACUUGAUAUUCUGUUCUAUCCUUUCAGACCUCUGCUAGUUCCACUUACUUUUUAUUGGUUCCUAUUUUUGCUAGUUUGUUGCAGUCAUCUAAAAAUUGAAACUGGGUUUAGAAAUACUAGUAACUAAAACUUAAUUUCAAUAAAAACAGUAUUGCAUUGUGCUUUAGGUAACUAAUGAAGUUGGUAUUUAUGGGCAUUUUAAAGAAUUGCAUCUGCUUUUUAUUUUCAUAGCUUAAGUAUUUUUAACCUCAAGCUAUACUGGAAAUUAUAGGGGUUCAAGAGGUUUGUUUUGGACUUUUUUUUUUUAAUAGAUGAAGAUGAAAAAACCAUAUUAAAUUUGGAGAAUUCCAACAAAAGCCUCUCUGGUGAACUCAAAGAAGUUAAAAAGGACCUUAGUCAAUUACAGGAAAACUUAAAGGUUUCAGAAAACAUGAAUUUGCAAUUUGAAAACCAACUGAAUAAGACAAUCAGAAACUUGUCUACAGUAAUGGAUGAAAUCCACACUGUUCUCAGAAAGGUUUGAAAUUUUAUACUUUCAACAUUUUCAGAGUUUAUUUAAAUUUUAAAAACUAUUCAUAGCAUUUUUAAUGUACUUUAAUGUUAUUUUGCUCUUUGUAAAAGCUUUUCCUAGAAGCAAAUGAUAGCAUUCCAUCUUCUUGAAACUAGUCAAAAGUAAUUCCCCAAAGAUUAUAUUUUUCUAAAAUUUAAUGAUGAAUGUCAGUAUGGUUUAUGUGUACAGAUUUUUUUUGAGGUUGACCCCAAAUUUAUUUUUUUAUUCACACAGAUUUCAGAUAUGUUAUUGUAUUUAAUCAUCACAGUAUCCCUAUUAGUUAAGCAUUGUUUUAUUUUUUUUAAAUACACGACAGCAGAAUGCAUUUACAAUUCUUAUUACACAUAUAGAGCACAAUUUUUCAUAUCUUUGUAUAUAAAAUAUGUUCACACCUGUGUGUACAGAUUGUCUGAAGCAAAUGUUGAACUGGAGAUGUGGCUCAGUGAUAGAGUGUAUGCCUAGCAUUAUGUGAGGCCCUGUGAUUAGUCCCUAGCACCACAAAAUUUAUUUGUAUUUCUUUCUAAACCAAAGAGUAUUUUUGAAGUAAGAUAUGAAAUCAUUUGGUUCUUUUAAACCAUUUAUUGUGAGGCAGAAUUUAAGAAAAUUCUUUGGCAUCAGAUAUUAAUCGCUAUAAAAAUUUUAUAAUUGAAUUACAUUAUAAAAUACCUUCAAAUAACAUGUAAGAAAAUCUAAUAAAAUAUACCUUUUCCUUAUCUAUUAUUUUACAGGAUAAUGUAAAGAAUGAAGACAAAGAUCAGAAAUCUAAGGAGAAUGGUGCAAAUGUAUGAUAAAAUUUGUGUCGUGAUGAAAAAUGCUGUUAAAUAAUGUAAUAUAUAAAAAUCAUGAUACAAGAAUGUUUGAAGGUGAUGCAUGUUUUAGUAGUAUAAAUUCUGUUAGUUCAAAUGGUGUAUAAAGUUUUAUGAAUGUUGAGUCUGCUUUUGAAAAUUGCUUGUAAUUUCUAGCAUUCAAAUUAUUAAACACUCCUUGAGUGAAAUAAUUUUGCAUUGCAAAAUGUUUUAGGAUGAACUUUGUUAUAGUUUUAACCCCAAUAAAGUUCAUCAAUUUACUUGACAGUAGUAUUUAAUUACCAAAUGUCUUUUAUUAAAAUGCCUAAAUUUUUUUUUGUUUUUUAUGCAUAAAAGUUUUUUAUUUUAUUUAUAGAAUUAUCAUUAUUUACCUUUUAAUUUUGUAGUCCAUCUUUUAAAACUUCACUAUAAAUCAUAAAAUAGCAAGCUGCUUACUUUUUGGACCAGAAAUAUUUUUACUCUUCACCAAAAAUCCCCUCUAGUUAUCAAUAUCUAAAAACAUUGUUAAAAAUUCAGUUCACCCAAAAGACAGUUCAUUAAGAACUAAGAAAGCAGUAGACAACUGGUGUUGGUAUUUUGUUUGUUAGGCUUUACGUAAAAUUCAUAGACCUGAUGUUAAUGUUAACUGUUAACUGCUUUCAAUUAAUUGUUCUACUUUCCCAGAGUAGCACUUCUAUUACUUUUAAUUAUGAGGGUUUCUUUUUAAAAAAUUCAGUGUAUGUCAAAUGUACAGUUUAGUACCAAACCAAUAGAUGUCAGUAUGAUGCCUUAAGUUAAAUUUUUAAUUAAAAAUAAUUUUUUUUUCUUAGUCUGUGUAUGUACUUAAGAGUUUCAGAGGUGUUUAAGAGUUCAUGUAACUGUUGAGUGAAAAAAAGAAGGAAAUGUGAUGUACUCUGCAACAGUGGUUUUCAACAGGAUGUGAAUUUAUCCUUCAGAGGGCAUUUGGCAAUGUUUGGAGAUCUUUUUAAGCAAUUGGGUGGGGGGCUACUUGCAUCUAUUUGUUAGAGACUAAGAAUGCUGUAUAGGACAGUCCCCCACAAUGAGGAAUUAUUCAGUCCAAAAUGCCAGUAGUGCCCAAUUUGAAAAAUCCUGCACUUAAGGAAUAUAAGGUUAAACAACAUUUUGUCUUUAUAAAAUUAUACUUAGGGAAAACUUAGCUGAAUCUGUAGAUGAUUAUUUUUUUAUACUUACAAAACUCGAAGUGGAAUGUUUUGCUCUCAUAAAAAUAUAUGUUAUAUUAGAGUUUAUUUCAUUUUGUUUUACUCUUUCAUUUUGAUAGAAUAAUGGCCAGAUAUUCUAAAUAGGUGAAUAUGAGACUUAAUAUGUGACUUAAGUCAAAUGGAAUCCAUAUGGCUCUUACUGAGGUAUGGAUUAAAACUCUUCAAAUUCUUCAAACCACUUUUUGUCUUAAAUUGAUAUUUCUUCUCUUCAGGUCUAGUUGAACCUCUCCAAAGUCACUUUACUUCUUGAGCCAUAAUUAUAUCAUUAAUAUGUAAAUGUUUCUUCAUCGUUGAGAUGAGAUGAAACUGUAUAGGUUUUUUAGUUUGUUUUUUGGUACUAUAGGGAUUUAAACCAGGGUCGGAUUUUAUUUUCUUCUUGAGACAGGAUCUUGCUAGGUUUGCCCAGACUAGCCUCAAAACAUGGAAUCCUCCUGCCUCAGCCUCCCAAGUAGCUGGAAUUACAGGUGUGUGCCUCCAUGCCCAAUAAAUUAUAUGGAGUUUUUUAAAGCAAGCACUUUACCUCAGAGUUAUAUCCCCAGCUCUAUUUUAUUUUGAGACAGGGUCUUAAUACGUUUCCCAGGCUAGCCUUGAACUUAUAGUCCUCAUGCCUCUCCCUCCCAAAUUGCUAGGAUUAUGAGUUGAUAUUGUAGCUUGCCUACCCUGUGAGAAACUCUGGGUUCAACCCCUAGUACUGCAAUAAGAAAAAUGUGGUUUACCAAUCGGCUGAGAUUGCCAUAUGCCACUGCAGCUGAUAGGAAACUUUUAACUAAAAGAUAGUAAUGAUAGAUUUCCUGCAAAAGUAUAUUUUUAAAUGAAAGAUCAGGGCUGGGACAUGGCUUAGUGGUAGGUCACUUGGCUAGCUUACAUGAUGCCCUCAUUUAAAUCUCUAAUAAGAGAGAGAUCAUACAAAGGCCAACUAACAGCUUUUAUUUUUGUACAAUAAAUUUUAAAUAAGCAUAAGGUGGAUAUGAUGGAGGAAGAAUCUAAACCUUCCAAUUUUAUUUUUACUUACAGAUAUAAUUUCUUUUUUAAAAUGUAAUUUUUUAAGACACUAGGGAUUUAAUCCAGGAGUGCCCUACCACUGAGCUACAUCCCUAGCGCAUUUGUAUUUUUCUUUUGAGACAGGAUCUCACUAAAAUUUGACCAGACUGCCAAUUAAGUUUCUUGUAAAUGAGUGUCAUCCCCUGGAGUAACAAAGGGGUAGUCCUAGCAGAAGAGGUAAUUUGUGCUUCUCUUUCUCAAUGAAAUUGAUGAUGAACUGUCACAAGGAACAGUAAAUUACUUGGUAGAAAUAAUUCCGACAUCUCUUUUGUUGUUAAAUUAAAAUUUAAUUUCAUGAUUUGGUGCCAGACUGUUUGGAUAAGCAAAGUGUAGGCCAUGAUGUUUUGAAAAUAUUCAGUGAAGCCAUUAAAUAAAAAUUGAAAAUAACCCAAAGAGUUAAUGUUAUGGGAUAUGUAUCUUUCAGAAUAUUUGGAAUACAUUCUAUAAAAAAUUUGGAGAAAUGGAUAAGGGAAAAGAACUUAGUGUAGACUCAGUUAAAUGAUACUUAAAUCGCUUAUUGGAAUUGAAAAUAUCAGGUGGUUUUGGUAAUAAUCUAAUAAAACAUCUGAUUUUGGAUGACUCCAAUUUUUAUAGGUUUUUUCCUUUCUUUUUUGACACUAGUGAUUGAAUCCAAGUGUACGUAAUAUCUGGGCCACAUCCCUAGCUAGACCUUUUUUAGUUUUUAUUUUGAGACUAAGUUGCUGAUAACUAAUCUCAAACUCGCACUCCUUCUGUCUUAGCCUCCUGAGUCACCAGGAUUACAGGUAUGCACCAGCAGUUUUUUGGGUUUAUAGUUUGUUUUUUACAUAAUUGACCUCAACAGUUAAAAUUGUGUUCCAAAAUUGAAUUCCAAAAGUUGUGUCAAAAAUAAACAGAACUUUAU
rnacentral:lncRNA from 1 species